AUCCAAAAGGCUGAUGAGCAUGUGGAAAGGUGUUGCGCCUGACUAGCAAUCAGGGAAAUGUAAAUAAACUCAGGAGCUCAUGGCCCGUGGGGGCGAGUGGCAGACUUCCAGCAGGAAACCACACAGACAUUACUUAGUCACAGCCAGGAGAAGGGCUCAGAGUGAAAGGGCUCUGUGCCCAUGACAUCCUUAGAGAGACCAGGGAAGGACCUGUAAGGCUUGAAGAAUGUGCAGAUUUGGAGACCCACAGGUCUGGGACCUGGCAGAAGCAUGUUACUGCCCCCAUUUUAGAGAUUUGGGGCUGAGAUUCAAGUACCCUAGGUUAUAUAAUGCAGUUGUCAAGUGACAGAGCUAAAACUUCAUCCAGGAUUCAAUUUUUUUUAAAGGAAGGAAGAAAGAAAAAACAUAUUUUGAUGUUUGCAUCACUUGUAUGUAGAAGGAACGAUGGAGCACAGGCUAGAACGUAGAGUUGCUUUCCAAACACCCAUGAUGACAAGUGCCCAUCUCCAAAGCCUGAGGGCCAAGGGUGAGCCACCUGACCCCUGAGGAAGGUUCUGUCCUGGUGUUUUAGGAAAUUAAAAUGUGCACAUCAGUUGGCUGCCCAGAGUGGGUGGGACCUGCACCUGCCAGAGAGGAAUGUGUGCUUUUUGGUUUAAUCCUGGGAACGGCAUAUGGGGCCCCUAUAACAAGGGGCAGAGAAGGCCUCCACAGAUUUGUUUUUCCAAUUCAAGAGGAGAGGUUAUUGUCUGCUGGCUUGUGUGUUGGAGACUGUGGGGCGUGCUUUCUCCACCACAGGGAGGCAGUGACCAGAGCUGCCACCUCUUCCCUGUUUUCACCUGUGGUCGUAGCCAGGUCAGGCAUCUAGGAGAGCAUGGAGGGGAGCUGGGGGUGGGUGGGUGGGGAUUCAGCUCUUUCCAGACACACUGGUGCUGCCUCUUUCAGGCCAGGGCUUGAGGGCAAGUGCUGUGCCCUAACAGGUCUUGCUUGUCACCCCCACCUCUGAAGUGGGUAUUUCACAGCCUGAACUCACAGCUGCAGAGAAGGUUGAGCCCAUGGUGUACUUGAAAGGGCAGUUCAUCUGGAUAUCCAGGCUCUGCAGGAGGUACCGGAGCAAUGCCAGGUGCCCUUUGCUGAACUGCCUAGAGUGGCUGGCCCUGGGGACAAAGAGCACAGCAUCCUGGUGACAAUGAAGUCACACUUUCCUAAGACAGUCCUGGUUUUUGAUGCUUUAAUUCUUUGGCUGCCUUUGCUUUGUCAAGGCCAGGAUCUGGGCCUAAAUUUUCAGGGCAGAACAAAACAAUUUUGUUUUCUAGGAAAGUGGGAGGUCUGGGAUGGCAAAGGCAGCCUCGGGCGUGGCGACUACCCCAGCUGGGGACGCUGGCUGCCAAGUCUCACCCUCUCAAGAGAACAGGAAUCAAACUCAGCACAGCAUCCUCCUUUCUAGUCAGUGGUCCUGCUCGAUAGGGGGAUUUGAAUUUUAUUUUUUUAAAAAUACAGGCACAGAAAAAAGACUAGAAGGAAACAGAUCCAAAUGUUAACUUUGUCUUUGGGUGAUUUUCAUUUCCUUCCUUAUUGUGUCUGUGUUUUCUAUUUUGCAUGAUACUUUUCCAAGUCAAGAAACAAUAAUUUGUGGAAGUCUCCUGUAUCUGUGCCUUGCUCUCUGGCCCACGACCUUGCACAUCUUAUCCUAGAGUUGCCAGAAUAUGUCCCUCCACCUGGCCUGGAGCUGCCCAUGAGGCUACAUAGAGCUCUCCUAUCAUGAAAGUCUUUGAGGCUUUCUGUUCCCAAGAAAUUCUGGUCUCACUUCCUCUGCCUUCUCAUCGAGCCCCAGACCCCUCCCUGCCCAGAUUAGGUCAGCAUUCAAGCCCCAAGUCCAGCCUAUGACAAAGCUCAAAGCUCCAGCCCAUCUCUGCUGCCCUCUGCCCUCAAGAGACUCUCGCCAGUGUCUGGGCCCUUCCUAGUAACUUCACCCAACCACUCACCCCCUGCCCUUCCCCUCCUGAUUGAUUAAAAUCCGGCCUAAUCUCCCAGGUGUAACCCAAGCCCUCUUCCACAAGCUUUCCAGGGCUCCGGAGAUUGCCCCCUCCCCUGUACGGCUGCAGGGCUUAUGUGUGCCUGGCGCUCAGCACGGGAACCUUGCCUUCUGCCUCACCCAUGUCUCCCCAGGGUUUGGCACAGGCGAGUUCCCUGAGCCAGCCUACUUCACAAGGAUGAACAGAAGCUCUCCCUAUCCUUUGCAAGUAGAAGCCCCCUCCCUGGCCCCCUCAAGAAAUCUCCCCCUCUCAGUGGAUUCACCAAAGCCCUGCGGAUCCUGCACUGUGAAGGAGAAGCCCUCCCCAGGGGCAUCCGGACAGCUGCAGCCAGGCCCUGCGUGACAUUGCUGAGCCGCAGCCCCACAGCCUGUGCCAGCUGCCCAUGCCCGGCUCAUAGACCCUGAGCCAGAGUGGCCCCGCCACCACCUGUGUCUCCACUCAGAGGCGAGAAGUAAGGGACAUGGAUGGAAAGUGUAAAAGCCAUUCCCACAACAGCUGCCAGGAACAAGGCGAGGAAUGGAGUGAAAAUGUAUAUUCACAGCUGGCACCCAGUUCCGCUUAGGAAAAUACCUUGCUUGAGUGGACACCUGUUGUUUUUGCCUGCCAGCAGCCAGGCCUGGCUUCUGGGAACAGCUUCUCAAAUCUUCCUUAGGGGGCUCUUCCUUUCCCACUCCUAGUGUGCAGUGUUUAGGUACCCUCUGGCCAUCCCCAAAGGGGUCCCUGUGGACCUUGCCUCAGCCAUCGGAGGUACAGCUGCAGGUCCAAGGAUGGCUUGUACCCCAGCUGAGGCCAAUAAGAACCUGGCCUUAGAUUCUGGCAGGAAUCCUGGAAGAGAUGACCUCGUUCUGCUGGGCUUCCUGAGCUGUUGAAUGCAAGCUGGUGGCCAUUUUGCCCCUUUUAGAAAGUAGCUGCCUAAGGAUACAGCCAUCCCAUGGGGCCAAUGGAUAGAGAGCAAGGGAAAGGGAGAACAAAAGAGGGAACGGGAAGGGAGAAGGGGAGUGCAAGAGGGGAGAGUGAGAGCAAGUGAGCAAGAUCAUCUCAGCUCUGGGGUCCAGCUGUGUCUGAAACAGCUGGGUCCAGCUGUGUGAGCCAAAAAAUGUCCCUUUUGUGCUUAAGCUUGUUUGAGUUGGGGUUCCAUCAUUUGUUACCAAGAGAGUCUUCAGGAAUGUGCAUGACAAAGUUGGGGGUGAGGUGUGAGCCUACGGACAUGGGCCUGGGGGCAGUCAAGGUUACAAAAUAGCUAAACUGGUCUGCACUGCCCCCACUAGUUUUCAGGGCAGAGGGCAGGGAGAAGGCUUGUGGGAAAGAAGCUGGCCUGAGGCCAAGGCCCUGGCCCUAGCCCUGCAACAGCACAGGGAACUCUUGGAAAGGGAUUUCCUAAGGUGGGACAUUGGCUUUCUACUGCUGUGAUGCAAGUCCUCAUCUCCCCAAACCUUCAGUGAGCCUCUCUCCACACCCUGCUGUAUGAGGAUGUUUGAUGCAAAUUAUGGAACAUGUUGGAUCUCACAUUGGAUCAAAGGUGUGCAGAAUAGAUUUGCCUCAAGCAUGACAGUGAUGUGACACAGUCAAAGAUGACUUCCGGAAUCCUGAGAAGUCCCAGGGAGGAUGCUGGGCUUUCCAAAACCUAAGUUUAGGAUACUGAGGACCACACCCCACACCCCAAACACUUCUCCUUAGAAUAAGUAUAGCAAGCCUCAGCAUACACAAAUCUCAGAGUGAACGGAAAUGUCUCUGCAGGCCCAAGGGUGGGGUCUGAGUAGCGGGGGCGCUGAGGAAGACAGGCAGUGACAGAGCCAGGACAGGGUCAACCCUGAGCGUGAGUGAGCCCAGGAAACGGAAAGAGAGCAACACAGCCACCCACACAACUAAAAUCGACCCACCCGGGUCUCCAUGCUGCAGGAAGUCACUGUCUAGGUCUCCCAAGACACAUUUUCAGGGGAAGGUUCCAGGCAGCAAGAGCAGCCCUAGGAAACUUUAAUAUACAAUGGAAUCUGGGUUAAGCACUAUCUUCUCCAAGAGUUGAGCUCACAGGACAUUCCCCAGAAACCUCUGGAGAGGUGGGGAGGAAAGUUUCUGGAGGUCUUUGGAUGGAGAAAACAAAAAAGUGGCCUUGAUUUUCAAGACAAAAUUACACAGGAAGAAAAAAAUGUUUUUAAUCUAAUUAAGAGCGAUCUUUUCACCUUCAUCACAACAUCGCGGAAAUGUGCCAGUUCUUAACUUCACACAAUAAUCAAAGCAAUUAGUGAGGGAGAAGCCUUGGAAACCGGUGCAGAUGUUCUCAGAAUGUUUAAUGGGGAAAUGAGUUGCAGGCCUCAUUCUCAGCAUCCGGCUCCAGGCCCUGGCUACCAAAUCCAGACAUCUGCUGGGGCCCCACCCCCAGGCCCCGAGGGCGCGGGCUUGAGAAACACAGGUCCCUUCCCAGGCCACCUCCCAGCCAGGCCAGAACUGGGGCCGAGAGGCUCCCCAUAGCUUCUCAAAUUGGAGCCUGGACACAGUCAGAGCCACCCCAGAACUGGGGGGAGGCUCAACAUCAAAAUUAUGUUAACAACUGAUGUCAAAAGUAAUCAACUCAGCUUGGCUCCCCCACUGCUGCUGGCUGCAGGAGGGCUGUGAGUAGGAGGAGAGCAAGCGGCCCCAGAGGGACCCUCGGCUAUGACCCCCUCAGCCUGAACACUACUUCAAGAAAAGAUGUGGUGGCAUCUGUCUGGUAUGGUCCUGUGGGCUCCAUUCCAAUGCUAAUGGACUCUUAAGGGGCCCAGGAAUCAAAAUGGUCAACACUUGAGGAAUUUCCAGUAAUCAGAGAAAACGUAUAGAAAUGAGGAUGAUGCUUACUUAGGAAAUGGCCUAUUACAGGAAACAGAGGGCCACGUGGCUAAUGUCAGUGAGCUGUGGGAGAGACAGAGACCCCAGGUGGGGCAGGCAGAUCAGCAAAUCUUGGAGGACCUGCUAUGUGGCAGGCACUGGAGACAUGGAGGUAAAGAACACAAUAUCCAUGUUCUCAGGGACACACUCAUAUGCCCUUAGCAUUCACGUUCUUCACACUGACAGCUUCUUAAUGCAAGCCCACCAGAUACUUUCAUAAGCACUACCUCUGACUUCAGGCACUUGCUGAGCUGCACACAGGGCAGGCCAAAAGGAAUGGAAAGUGAGCCACCACCGGGGCAGCACUCACUAGUGAAAGAUAAAUACCCCAGCUCUCUCAGCCGCUUGUAGAACUCUGAGGAGUGUUCUGUGCAGCUUCCCAGCUGCCCACCAUGAAGCUCUUUCUCAAUAAGUGACCAGCACAGCUUAAUUCCUGAAUUAAGCUGUGUGUGCUGUGAGACUGACACAAGACAGGGUGACAGGAAGCUGUCGGAACAUUUGAGUAGGGAAGCAGCAAGAUCCACUGUACAUUUAAAGAACUCCCUUGAGCUGUUAUGUGAAGAAUGGAGUACAGGAAGCAAGAGUGGAAAUCAAGAGACCAGUAAUGAGGUAUGGACAACAAUGUAGGCAGAGAAAUGGUGGUGGUUUUAACCAGGGAGAUAGCUGGAGAGACUAGGUGUGGGCAAAUCCAGAGAGUUGAUAAGACAUACUGAUAGAUUAGAAAGGGGUACUAAGAAAAAAGGAUAAUUUAAAAAAGACUUUCAGCCAGGCUUGGAGAAAAAUAGCAUGCUGCUCCUCAUCCCCUCUGACUAUAAAUCAUCUCACUCAUCCUCCCCUAAAAGCAUAAAAUCAGUAAGUGCAAAUAAAACCACAUGACCCAUGCUGUUAGCAGUAUUAGGAGAAAGAAUACCUUCAAAUUGCCUGUGGGUAGCAAAGUGAGCCAAAUUCCAAUAGCAUUCUAGUCCCCUGCCCAGCACUGCAAAACUGCAUACAGAAUCAGAGAAGAGGCUUAAAAUGCUUUGUCAAAAAGUUUGAAGGUAGUUAGCAACAUCAGCAAAAAUAGAGGAGUAAGUACCUCUAAGGAGCCUUCUUGCCUUCACAGACAUCCUAAGCACCAAGCAGCCUAAGCCACUGAUGAACUUGCAGAUACCACUGAUGUGGAUUAUAGUCUAAUUAAUUGUAGAGACACCACACUUCUGCACUGAACCAGAACCAAAGCCAAAGCACCCUACCCAAAUGAUACUACAGACGCGUGUACAGGAAAAGUCCUUACUAAGGCUACUCCAUAAAAUUGGAAGUCUCUGUUAUUCCAGAUAUGCAGAUAUCAACUUGGGGACACAAAAAACUUGGGGGGAAAAAAACAAGAAAACAUGACUUGCCAAAAGAACACAAUAAUUCUCCAAUAAUAGACUCCAAAGUAAAGGAAAUCUUAAGGAAACCCAAUGAGAUACAAGAGAACACAAAUAGACAAUACAAACAUAUCAGGAAAACAAUUCAUUAUCUAAAUGGGAAAUCCAGCAGAGUUAGAUAUGAAAAAGAACCAAACAAAAAUCCUGGAGGUGAUAAAUUAAAUGAAUGAAAUAAAAAAUACAAUUGAAAGCUUCAAAAGCCGGCUAAGUCAAGCAGAAGAAAUAAUUUCUAAAUUUGAAGACAGGUGUUUUGCAAUAAACCAGACAGAUUUAAAAAAUAACAAUAAAAAAGAAUGAAGAAUGCCUGCGUGACAUAUGAGACACUAUUAAGCUAACAAUAUUUCACAUUUUGGGAGUUCCAGAAGAAGUGUUGGGAUAAGGACCAGAAAAUCUAUUUAAGAAGAUAAUACCUGAAAACUGCCAAAGUUUGGGAGAGAAAGAGACUAACAGAUAAAGGAAGCUCACAAAUCCCUAAAUAGAUUCAACCCUAAAAGGGCCUCUCUGAGGCACAUUUUCAUCAAACUGUCAAAAAUCAAAGAGAGAAUUUAAAAAACAAGAGAGAAGCAUGAAGUCACAUAUAAGGGAAUCAACAGCAGAUUAACAGAUUUUUCAGCAGAAACCUUCUAGGCCAGGAAAGAAUUGAAUGCCAUAUUAAAAGUGCUGCAAGGUGGGGAAAAGCUCACAAAAUUGCUAGCCACAAAUACUAUACCCAGCAAAGCUAUCCUUCAGAAAUGAAGCAGAAUGAGGGAAGAAAUUUUGCCUCCCUCAGACAAGCAAAAACUGAGGGAAUUCAUUACUACUAAAUCAGCCCCACAAGAAAUGCUUAAGGGAGUACUACAUCUGGAAGUAGGAGGAUGAUAUCUACCAUCAUGAAACUACAAAAGCAUAAAACACUAGUAGAGCAGAUACACAAAUGAGAAAGGAAAAGGAAUAAAAGAUUAUCACUACAGAAAACCAAAAAAUUGCAAAGAAAAACAAUGAGAGGAAACAAAAGUAUACAAAUCAGUCAGAAAACAAUAAAAUGACAGGAGUAAGUCCUCACCUAUUGAUAACAAUCUUGAAUGUAGGUAAUUUAAAUUUCCCAAAUGAAAGAUAGAUACUGGCUAAAUGAAUUAAAAAAAUAAAACCCAAUUACAUGCUGCCUAUAAGAAACUGACUUCACCUGUAAAGACACCCAUAGACUGUAAGGGAAUGGAUAGAAAAAGAUAUUCCACACAAACAGACACCAAAAGCAUGCAGGAGUAGACAGACAAAAAAUACUGAGUCAAAAAAAAAAAAAAAAAAAAAAAGAAAAAGAAAAAAGAGACAAAGGAGGUCAUUAUAUAAUUAUAAAUGGAUCAAUUCAGCAAGAAGAUAUAACAAUUAUAUAUGCAACCAACAACACUGGAGUACCCAGGUAUAUUAAACAAAUAUUAUUAGUGCUAAAGAGAUAGACCCCAAUACAAUAAUAGUUAGGGAUGGCAACAUUUCAUACUCAGCAUUGGACAAUUCAUUUGGAUGGAAAAAUAUCAACAAGGAAAUAUUAGAUUUGAACUGCUGCUUCGUUAGCACACAGCACAUUCUCCAGGAUAUACCAUAUGUUAGGACACAAAACGGGUCUCAAUAAAUUUUUAAAAGUCAAAAUCUUAUCAAGUAUCUUCUCAGACCACAAUGGAAUAAAACUGGAAAUCAAUAACAAGAGGAACUUCUGAAAUUGAACAGAUACACGGAAAUCAAACUACAUGUUCCUGAAUGACCACUGUGUCUAUGAAGAAAUUGAUUUUAAAAAUUUAAAAAUUCUUUGAAACAAAUGAAAAUAGAAACACAGCAUACAAAAAUGUAUAGGGUACAACAAAAGAAGUGCUAUGAGGGACAUUUAUUUCAAUAAACACCCACAUCAAUAAGGUAGAAAGUUUUUAAACAAAUAACCUAAUAAACGCAUCUCAAGGAACUAGAAAAGCAAGAACAAAUCAAACCUAAAAUUAGAAGGAAAUAAAUAGUAAAGAUCAGAGCAGAUCUAAAUGAAAUAGAGAUAAAAGGUAAAAAAGACAAAAGAUCAAUGAAAUGAGGCCUCCCCCCCACCCCCCGAGACACGGUCUCACUCUGUCACCCAGGCUAGAGCGCAGUGGUGUGAUCUUGGCUCACUGUAACCUCUGCUUCCUGGGCUCAAGCAAUCCUCCUGCCUCAGCUUCUGAGUAGAUGUGCAGCACCACACCUCGCUAAUUUUUUUUUUUUUUUUUGGUAGAGAUGGGGGUUUGCCAUGUUGCUCAGGCUGGUCUCAAACUCCUGGACUCAAGCGAUCGGCCUGCCUUGGCCUUCCAAAGUACUGGGUUUACAGGUGUGAGCCAACAAACCCAGCCAAAAAACUGAUUUUUUGAAAAGAGAAAAUCAAUAAACCAUUAGCUAGACUAACCAAGAAGACCCAAUAAAUAAAAUCAGAAAUGAAAAAGGAGACUUACAAUGGACACCACAGAAAUACAAAAGAUUAUUAGAGACCAUUAUGAACAACUAUAUGUCAACAAUUAGAAAACCUAGAGGAAAGAGAUAAAUUCCUGGACAUAUAUAACCUCCCAAGAUUGAACCAGGAAGAAAAAAAAUCUGAACAGAGCAAUAACAAGGAAUGAGAUUGUAUCAGUAAUAAAGUCUCCCAGUAAAGAAAACCUCAGGAUUGCACGGGUUUUCUACUGAAUUCUACCAAACCUUUAAAGAACUAACAUGAAUUCUUCUCAGACAAUUCCAAAAGACUGAAGAGAAAGGAAUUCUCCCUAACUCAUUCUGUGAGGCAAGCAGUAUCUUGAUACCAAAACCAGAUAAGGACACAAUAACAGCAAAAAAGAAAACUACAGGCCAAUCUCCCUGAUGAACAUAGAUGCAGAAUCCUCAGAAACAAAACACACACACAGACACACAAACUAGCAAUCUGAAUCCAAUCGCACAUCAAAAAGAUAAUACACCAUAAUCAAGUGGGAUUUAUCCCAGGGAUUCAAGGAUGGUUCAACAUAUACAAAUCAAUAAAUGUGAUACAUCACAUUAACAGAAGGAAGGACAAAAAAAUACAUGAUCAUCUCAAUAGAUGCAGAAAAAGCAUCUGAUAAAAUUCAAAAUCUCUUCAUGAUAAAAAAAAAAGCUCAUCACAUAAUGUCUAGAAGGAACAUAACUCAAUGAAGGUCAUAUAUGACAAACCCACAGCCACCUGGGGAAAAGCUAAACACCUUCUCUCUUAGAACUAGAACAAGACAAGGAUGCCCACUUUCACUAUUCUUAUUCAGCAGAGUAAGAAAAGUCCUCACCAGAACAAUUAGGCAAGUAAAAGAAAAAGGGUAUCCAAAUUGGAAAAGAGAAUGUCAUAUUGUCCUUUGCAGAUGGCAUAAUCUUAUACAUAGAAAAACCUAAAGAUUCCACCAAAAUCUUUUAGAACUGGUAAAGGAAUUCAAUAAAGUUGCAGGAUAAAAAAAUCAACAAACAAAAAUUAGUAGGUGUGGACAUGAUGGCUCAUGCUUGUAAUUUCAGCACUUUGAAAGGAUGAGGCGGGUGGAUUGCUUGAGCCCAGGAGUUUGAGACUGUCCUGGGCAACAUGGCAAAACCUCAUCAGUACAAAAAUGAGCUGGGCGUGGUGGCCUGCACCUGAAGUUCAGCUACUCAGGAGGCUGAGAUGGGAGGAUCACUUGAACCUCGGAGGUGAAGGUUGCAGUGAGCAGAAAUUGCACCAUUGCACCCCAGCCUGGGCAACAGAGUGAGACCCUGUCUGCACUCCCCUGCCUCCCCCAAAAAAUCAGUAGCAUUUCUGUGAAACAGCAAAUUAGCCAAAAGAGAAAUGAAGAAAGCAAUCCCAUUUGCAAUAGCUACAAAAAAAAGCAAAGCUUAACCAAGGAGGUGAAAGAUUUCCACAAUGAAAACUAUAAAAUACUGAUAACAGUAAUUGAAGAGGCUACAAAAUUUUUUGAGACAUCCCAUGCUCAUGGAUUGAAAGAAAAAUGUUAAAAUGAUCAUAUUUACCUAUAGCAAUAUACAGAUGCUAUGAAAUCCCUAUCCAGAUAUCAGCAGGGGCUUCAAGAUGGCUGACUAGAGGCAUCUGGCACUCACCUCCUCCACAAAAUAUAGCAAGUAGGUAACCACAGUUUAUAUAGAUCGCCUCUGAGAGAAUGCUGGAAUUCAACUGAGAAGUAAUAAGAAAAACCCAAUGCAAGGGAUAAGAGGGGAGUCAGGCAGUCUGCUUCUAUGGGACUGGCUGGGAUCAUGAAGAGACUCCUCGAUGUGCAGAAAGGUAAGUAAGUGAGCCCCUAGUGGUCCACAUUCCCACAGCAGACUCCUGAAAUCCUAGUCAGAGAACCCCCUGACCCAUAGAUGCCUUGAGACUAACAAGAGGCUACCUACAGACUGUGAAAUGGCAAUGAACAGCUCCCAGAGAGGGAGAUCACCCUGAAUCCUCAGGCAAUUCACACAUCCCCUGAAUCCUCAGGCAACUUCAGGAAAGUCCCAUUUUGAUAGCCCAACCCCCACCAGACUGCAUCUGCUGUGGGCCCCACAUCCCUCUAUCUCAUCCCUGGAGCCCCAUGGACAUCCCUUACACAAAGCUGGUUGCCACUCCUGACUGCUCCCUCCAGGCCAAAGCAUGAGCCAUUGGCAAUACUCUGCUACCUCCGAAGCAAGGCUGCCAUGAGGAAAGGUGACCCUGCCCAUAGUCACCACCUGGGGCCGAAGCAUGCAUUGCCCAACUGCCUGUUUAUAGCUGCUGCCACUGAAAGCAAUCCCACUCAACUUCCCCAGGAGUAGGGCUGCAAUAGAGUUGCUGCUGCCCCAACAUGAGCAUUCAGCAGGGUAUACAGGGAUCUUCCUGUGCCUGCCUACCACAGUCAGUACAUUCUUGCAUUACUGGAGGGCCUCAGGACAGGCCCACCUGGCCUGGUCCCACCCUCUUUUCUCCCAGUGCCAGCGCAUACCAUCUCUGGGCCUAGGGAUCACCCUGCCCUAUCCAGUAUUGUUGGCACCUGAGCACUCCUGGGGGCUUGAGGACUGCCCUACCCAACUGACCAUUACCACCACAACUGGCAUUCACUUGAAUUUGCCACCUGUGGGCCUUGGGACAAGCUCAUCCAGCUUAUCCCAGCCAUCCCAAUACCAGCAUGGACACCUUGGGAGGCAGAAGAUUGUUCUGCCACUGCUACUGCCAUUGCCCAAGCCAUAUCUGCUGCUCAGAGCUCAAGGACCUACCCACCCUGUGGCCCAGCUCUGUCAUCAUUGGCACCUGAGCAAGUUGCCUGGAGGCCCAAAAUUGGUUUCCCUGGACUUGCUAACACUGGUACCAGCAUACACUACCAUUGGGCCCAAGGAUAAGCAUUCGGGGCCAGCCACUGCUGCCACUGGGGCCUGAGGACUGGCCCAGCUGGUGUCCCUAUCCCCAGCCAGACUUUACCACAGCCUCCACCAACAACUGCAUCCUAAACUACAGAGGAACUCCCAGACACUACUGGUGCUGUUUACAGCUGAAAAAAAUUCCAUGGAGAUCACACUACUGCAGGCACCCAGAAUCAAAACCAAAGUGCCCUGCCCAAAGAACACCAUAGAUAUAUCUUCAGGAACAAGACUCUCUUAGGAAAGACAGAUCAAAAAAUUGGAAGAAACUACUGUUACACCAGAUGUGCAGAUACCAGUGUAAGCACACAAGAAACAUGAAAAGGCAAAACAUGACAACUCCUAAGGAAUGCAAUAAUUCUCCAACAGAUUCCAGUGAAAAAGAAAUUGAUGAAACCUUGAAAAAUUCAAUAUAAUAUUAAAGAAGAUCUGAUAGACUAUACAAAGAAAUCAGAAAAAACAAUUCGGGGUAUGAAUGAGAAAUUUGCCCAAGAGAUAGAUAUAAAAAGAACCAAACAGAUAUUCUGGAAUUGAAUAAUAGAUUGAAUGAAAUAAAAAACAUAUUUGAAAGCUUCAAUAACAGACCACAACAAGCAGAAGAAAGAAUUUCACACCUUGAAGAUAAGUCUUUUGAAAUGACUCAGACAAAAAUAUAGAAAAAAUAGAAAAGAAUGAACAAAGGCUAUGUGACUAUAGGAUGCCAUAAGGUGACACCUUCAGUGUCCCAGAAGGUGAAGAGCAAACCAAAAGAUUAUAAAACCUAUUUAAUGAAAUAAUACCUGAACACUUCCCAAUCUCCCAAGAGAUUUAGAUCCAAAUAUAGGAAUCUCAGAACCCUAAAUAGAUACAAUUCAGAAAGGUCUUUUCCACAGCACAUUAUAGCAAAUUGCCCAUCCCAAGACAAAGAGAGAAUCAUAAAACCAGCGAUAAAAGAGGUUGUAGACACUUACAAGGGAACAACCUGCAGACUAACAGAUUUUUCAGCAGAAACUUUACAGGCCAGGAGGAUGGGAUUAUAUACGCAGAGUGCUGAAAGAAAAAACAAAACCAAAAACCUGCCAGCCAGGAAUACUGUACUUAGCAAAGUUAUAUUCGUCAGAAAUGAAGGAGAAAUAAAGUAUUUCCCUUAAAAGUAAAAGCUCAGGGAAUUAAUUGCCACUACACUGGCACUACAAAAAAUGCUUAAGGGAGUCUUACAGGAAGAAGUGAAAGGACAACUUCAUGAAAGCACACAAAAUAAUCAGAAAUCAAUUAAUGACAGGAAUAAGCCCUCACAUAUCAACAAUAACCUUGCAUAUAAAUAGAUUAAACUUUCUACUUAAAAGACAGACUGGCUGAAUGGACUUAAAAACAUGACCCAUCUAAAUGCUAUCUACAAGAAACGCAUCUCACCUGUAAAGACACAUAGUUGAAAGAAAGGAAUGGGAAAAGAUAUUACAUGCAAAAGGAAACAAAAACCAAACAGGAGUAGCUAUACUUUCAUCAGAUAAAACAAAGGUUAAGCUAAAAACACUAAAAAGAGACGAAGUCAUUAUAUAGUGACAGAGGGAUCAAUUGACCAAGAGGAUAUAACAAUUCUAAACAUAUAUGCACCCAACACCAAAGCACCCAGAUAUAUAAGGCAAACAUCAAAUCUGAAGGGAAAGGUAGACUUCAACACAAUAAUCUUGGGAACUUCAAUUCUCCAUUUCCAGUAUUAGACAGAUCAUCUAGACAAAAAAUUAACAAAGAAACAUUGGAUUUAAACUGCACUUUAUACCAAAUGGACCUAACAGACAUUUACAGACCAGUUCAUAAAACAGCUGCAGAAUAUACACUCUUCUCAUCAGUACAUGGAACACUCUCCAGGAUACAUUAUAUGUUAGGACACUAAGUAUGAUUUUAAAUAUAUAUAUAUUUUAAAUUGGAUUCAUAUCACAUAUCUUCUCAGACCACAAUAGCAUAAAACUAUAAAUAAAUAAGAGGAGCAUUCAAAACUGUAUAAAUAAAUGGAAAUUAACAUGUUCCUGAAUGACCAAUGGGUCAAAGAAGAAAUUAAGGCAGAAAUAAAAAAUUUACUGAAACAAGUGAAAAUAGAAGCACAACAUUCUGAAACUUAAGGGAUACUGCAAAAGCAAUGCUAAGAGGAAAGUUUAUUGUAAUAAAUGCCUCCAUUAAAAAAGGUAGAAAAGAUCUUAAAUAAUCUAAUGAUACACCUGAAGGAACCAGAAAAGCAAGAACAAACCAUACUAAACAUAAAAUUAGUAGAAGGAAAGAAAUAACGAAGAUCAGAGCAGAACUAAACAAGAAACUAAAUAAAUAUAAAGGAUCAAUGAAAUGCAAAAUCGGUUUUUGAAAAGAAACAAAAUAACCAGUGGCUAAACUAUCCAAGAAGAAAAGAGAGAAGACCUACAUGAAUAAAAUCAAAAAUGAAAAAGGGGAUAUUACAACUCAUACCAUGAAAUACAAAAAUCAAAACUCUUCAGUCUGAUCAAUAAAUUGAUUACAGUUACAGGAUUUAAAAAUCAGGCUUAUUUCUAUAUACCAAUAAAGAACCAGCUGAGAAAGAAAUCAAGAAGGCAUUAUCUUUUACAACCACUACAAAAAAUCUAGGAAUGAGUUUAACCAAAGAGGUGAGAAACCUCUAACAAGGAAAACUACAAAAGUCUGAUGAAAGAAAUUGAAAAGAACACACAAAAAACAUCCCAUUCUCAUGGAUUGGGAGAAUUAACAAAAUUAAAAUGACCAUACUACCCAAAGCAAUCUACAGAUUCAAUGCAGUCUCUCUCAAAAUACCAAUGCCAUUUUUCAUGGAAAUAGAAAAAAUCCUAAAAUUCAGAUGGAACCAAAAAAGAGCUGGAAUAGCCACAGCAAUUCUGAGCAAAAAUAACAAAGUUGGAUGCAUCACACUGCCUGAUUUAAAAAUAUAAGGCUAUAGCAUUAAAAGCAGCAUGGUAUUGGAAUAAAAACUGAUAGACCAAUGGAACAGAGUAGAACCUGGAAGUAAAUCCAUGUAUUUACAGCCAACUGAUUUUUGACAAAGAUGCCAAGAACAUACACUGGGAAAAGAGCACCCUCUUCACUUAAUGGAGCUGGGAAAAUAAGAUAUCCAUGUGAAAAAUGAAACCGUUUCUAUCUCUUGCUAUACUAAAAUCAACUCAAGAUGGGUUAAAGACUUAAACAUGAGGCAUGAAACUAUAACAUCACUAUUAAUGAAGGAGACAUUGGGGAAACACUUUAGGACAUUGGUCUAGGGAAAGAUUUUAUGGAUAAGACCUCAAAAACACAGACAAAAACAAAAAUAGACAAAUGGGACUAUAUUAAAUGAUAAAGCUUGUACACAACAAGGGAAACAAUCACCAGAGUGAAGAGACAGCCUGUUGAAUGGGAGAAAAUAUUUGCAAACUACUCAUCUGACAAGGUACUAAUACCAGAAUAUACUAGGAACUCCAAUAACUCAAUAGUAAACAACAAAUUAAUUCCAAUAAAAAGUGAGCAAAAGACAUGGAUAGAUAUUUCUCAAAAGAAAACAUACAAGUAGCCAACAGGUAUAUUUAAAAAAAAAAGCCCAACAUCAGUAAUUAUAAGGGAAAUGCAAGCCAAAACCAUAGUGAGAAUGGCUAUUUUAAAAAGACAAAAAUUAACCAAUGCUGGAGAGGAUGUGGAGGGAACUCUUAUACACUGUUGGUGGGAAUGUAAAUUAAUACUAUAGAAAACAGUUUGAUUUCUGAAAAACCUAAAAAGAGAAAUAUGACAUAAUCCAGCAAUCUCACUACUGGAUAUUUAUCUAAAGGAAAAGAUAUCAGUAUACUAAAAAUGUACCUGCAUCCCCGUGUUUAUUGCAGCACUAUUCACAACAGCAAAGAUAUGGACUCAGGAACCUAAGUGUACAUCAGUGGAUAAAUGGAAAAAGAAAAUGAGGUAAAUAUAUACAAUGGAAUACUAAUUGACCAAAGAAGAAUGAAAUCAUGUCCUUUGCAGCAACAUGAAUGGAGCUGGAGGUCAUUAUUUUAAGCCAGGCACAGAAAGAUAAUUAUCUUAUGUUAUUAUCAUAUGUGGGAGCUAUAAAAGUUGAUCUCAUGGAGGUAGAGAGUAGAAGGAUAGAUACCAAAGGCUGUGAAAGGUAUGUCUGGAGGGUGAAGAGAGGUUGGUUAGUGGGUAAAAAUACACAGCUAGUUAGAAUAAAUAAUUUAUAAUGUUUGAUAAGAGUUGGUUGACUAUAUUUAACAAUAUAAUGUAUAUUUCAAAAUAAAAAAGAGGACUUGAAAUGUUCCUAACUAUAGAGAUGAUAAAUUGAGGGUGAUGGAUACCCUGACUUGAUCAUUACACAUUCGAUGCAUGUAACAAUAGCACAUGUACCCCAUAAGUAUUAUGUAUCGGUCAAAAAAAAAAAAAAAAGGAAAUCCCAGUGCUUUGGGGGGCCAAGGCAGAAGGAUCGCUUGAGCCCAGGAAUUCAAGACCAGCCUGGGCAACAAUGCACGACCCUGUCUCUACAAAAAAUUAAGAAGUUAUCCAGGCAUGGUGGUGCAUGCCUGUAGUCCCAGCUACUUGAGGGGUCAAGGAUGGAGAAUGACUUGAGCCUGGGAGUUAAAGAUUGCAGUAAGUGGGGUGGUUCCAAGAUGGCCGAAUAGGAGGAGCUCCAGUCUAUAGCUCCCAGCGUGAGUGACGCAGAAGAUGGGUGAUUUCUGCAUUUCCAACUGAGGUAGUGGGUUCAUCUCACUGGGGCUCGUCAAGACAGUGGGUACAGGACAGUGGGUGCAGCCCACUGAGUGUGAGACGAAGUAGGGCGAGGCAUCGCCUCACCUGGGAAGCACAAGGGGUCAGGGAAUUCCCUUUCCUAGCCAACGGAAGGGGUGACAGACGGCACCUGGAAAACUGGAUCACUCCCACCCUAAUACUGUGCUUUUCCAAUGGUCUUAGCAAACGGCACACCAGGAGAUUAUAUCCCGCGCCUGGCUCGGAGGGUCCCACGCCCAUGGAGCCUCGCUCAUUGCUAGCACAGCAGUCUGAGAUCGAACUGCAAGGCGGCAGCGAGGCUGGGGGAGCCUGCCAUUGCUGAGGCUUGAGUAGGUAAACAAAGUGGCCAGGAAGCUCGAACUGGGUGGAGUCCACCACAGCUCAAGGAGGCCUGCCUGCCUCUGUAGACUCCACCUCUGGGGACAGAGCAUAGCCGAACAAAAGGCAGCAGAAACCUCUGCAGACUUAAAUGUCCCUGUCUCACAGCUUUGAAAAGAGUAGUGGUUCUCCCAGCACGGAGUUUGAGAUCUAAGAAUGGAUAGACUGCCUCCUCAAGUGGGUCCCUGACCCCCGAGUAGCCUAACUGGGAGGCACUCCCCAGUAGGGGCAGACUGACACCUCACACGGCUGGGUACUCCUCUGAGACGAAGCUUCCAGAGGAACAAUCAGGCAGCAACAUUUGGUGUUCAGCAGUAUUCGCUGUUCUGCAGCCUCUGCUGCUGAUACCCAGGCAAACAGGGUCUGGAGUGGACCUCCAGCAAACUCCAACAGACCUGCAGCUGAGGGUCCUGACUGUUAGAAGGAAAACUAACAAACAGAAAGGACAUCCACACCAAAACUCCAUCUAUACGUCACCAUCAUCAAAGACCAAAGGUAGAUAAAACCACAAAGAUGGGGAAAAAACAGCAGAAAAGCAGAAAAUUCUAAAACUCAGAGCACCUCUCCCCAUCCAAAGGAACGCAGCCACUCGCCAGCAAUGGAACAAAGCUGGACGGAGAAUGACUUUGACAAGUUGAGAGAGGAAGGCUUCAGACAAUCAAACUUCUCCGAGCUAAAGGAGGAAGUUCGAACCCAAAGCAAAGAAGCUAAAAACCUUGAAAAAAGAUUAGACGAAUGGCUAACUAGAAUAACCAGUGUAGAGAAGUCCUUAAAUGACAUGAUGGAGCAGAAAACCAUGGCACAAGAACUACGUGACAAAUGCACAAGCUUCAGUAGCCGAUUUGAUCAACUGGAAGAAAGGAUAUCGGUGAUUGAAGAUCAAAUGAAUGAAAUGAAGUGAGAAGAGAAGUUCAGAGAAAAAAGAGUAAAAACAAACGAACAAAGCCUCCAAGAAAUAUGGGACUAUGUGAAAAGACCAAAUCUACAUCUGACUGGUGUACAUGAAAAUGACAGGGAGAAUGGAACCAAGUUGGAAAACACUCUUCAGGAUAUUAUCCAGGAGAACUUCCCCAACCUAGCAAGGCAGGAUAUUAUCCAGGAGAACUUCCCCAACCUAGCAAGGCAGGCCAACAUUCAAAUUCAGGAAAUACAGAGAAUGCCACAAAGAUACUCCUCAAGAAGAGCAACUCCAAGACACAUAAUUGUCAGAUUCACCAAAGUUGAAAUGAAGGAAAAAAUGUUAAGGGCAGCCAGAGAGAAAGGUUGGGUUACCCACAAAGGGAAACCCAUCAGACUAACGGCGGAUCUCUCAGCAGAAACUCUACAAGCCAGAAGAGAGUGGGGGCCAAUAUUCAACAUUCUUAAAGAAAAGAAUUUUCAACCCAGAAUUUCAUAUCCAGCCAAACUAAGCUUCAUAAGUGAAGGAGAAAUAAAAUCCUUUAUAGACAAGCAAAUGCUGAGAGAUGUUAUAACCACCAGGCCUGCCCUACAAGAGCUCCUGAAGGAAGCACUAAACAUGGAAAGGAACAAUUGGUACCAGCCACUGCAAAAACAUGACAAAUUGUAAAGACCAUAGAUGCUAGGAAGAAACUGCAUCAACUAACGAGCAAAAUAACCAGCUAACAUCAUAAUGGAUCAAAUUCACACAUAACAAUAUUAACCUUAAAUGUAAAUAGGCUAAAGGCUCCAAUUAAAAGACACAGACUGGCAAAUUGGAUAAAGAGUCAAGACCCAUCAGUGUGCUGUAUUCAGGAGACCCAUCUCACGUGCAGAGACACACAUAGGCUCAAAAUAAAGGGAUGGAGGAAGAUCUACCAAGCAAAUGGAAAAUAAAAAAAGGCAGGGGUUGCAAUCCUAGUCUCUGAUAAAACAGACUUUAAACCAAUAAAGAUCAAAAGAGACAAGGUCAUUACAUAAUGGUAAAGGGAUCAAUUCAACAAGAAGAGCUAACUAUCUUAAAUAUAUAUGCACCCAAUACAGGAGCACCCAGAUUCAUAAAGCAAGUCCUUAGAGAUCUACAAAGAGACAGACUCCCACACAAUAAUAAUGGGAGACUUUAACACCCCACUGUUAACAUUAGACAAAUCAACAAGACCGGAAGUUAACAAGGAUAUCCAGGAAUUGAACUCAGCUCUGCACCAAGUGGACCUAAUAGACAUCUACAGAACAUUCCAACCCAAAUCAACAGAAUAUACAUUCUUCUCAGCAUCACAUCGCACUUAUUCCAAAAUUGACCACAUAAUUGGAAGUAAAGCACUCCUCAGCAAAUGUAAAAGAACAGAAACUAUAACAAACUGUCUCUCAGACCACAGUGCAAUCAAACUAGAACUCAGGAUUAAGAAACUCACUCAAAACCGCUCAACGACAUGGAAACUGAACCACCUGCUCCUGAAUGACUACUGGGUACAUAACGAAAUGAAGGCAGAGAAAUAAAGAUGUUCUUUGAAACCAAUGAGAACAAAGACACAACAUACCAGAAUCUCUGGGACACAUUUAAAGCAGUGUGUAGAGGGAAAUUUAUAGCACUAAAUGCCCACAAGAGAAAGCAGGAAAAAUCUAAAAUUGAUGCCCUAACAUCACAAUUAAAAGAACUAGAGAAGCAAGAGCAAACACAUUCAAAAGCUAGCAGAAGGCAAGAAAUAACUAAGAUCAGAGAAGAAUUGAAGGAGAUAGAGACACAAAAAACCCUUCAAAAAAUCAAUGAAUCCAGGAGGUGGUUUUUUUGAAAAGAUCAACAAAAUUGAUAGGCCUCUAGCAAGACUAAUAAAGAAGAGAGAAGAAUCAAAUAGAUGCAAUAAAAAAUGAUAAAGGGGAUAUCACCACCGAUCCCACAGAAAUACAAACUACCAUCAGAGAAUACUAUAAACACCUCUAUGCAAAUAAACUAGAAAAUCUAGAAGAAAUGGAUAAAUUCCUGGAGACAUACACCCUUCCAAGACUAAACCAGGAAGAAGUUGAAUCCCUGAAAAGACCAAUAACAGGCUCUGAAAUUUAGGCAAUAAUUAAUAGUCUACCAACCAAAAAAAGUCCAGGACCAGACGGAUUCACAGCCGAAUUCUACCAGAGGUACAAGGAGGAGCUGGUACUAUGCCUUCUGAAACUAUUCCAAACAAUAGAAAAAGAGGGAAUCCUCCCUAACUCAUUUUAUGAGGCCAGCAUCAUCCUGAUACCAAAGCCUGGCAGAGACACAACAAAAAAAGAGAAUUUUAGACCAAUAUCCCUGAUGAACAUUGAUGCAAAAAUCCUCAAUAAAAUACUGGCAAACCGAAUCCAGCAGCACAUCAAAAAGCUUAUCCACCAUGAUCAAGUGGGCUUCAUCCCUGGGAUGCAAGGCUGGUUCAACAUAUGCAAAUCAAUAAACAUUAUCCAGCAUAUAAACAGAACCAAAGACAAAAACCACAUGAUUAUCUCAAUAGAUGCAGAAAAGGCCUUUGACAAAAUUCAACAGCCCUUCAUGCUAAAAACUCUCAAUAAAUUAGGUAUUGAUGGGAUGUAUCUCAAAAUAAUAAGAGCUAUUUAUGACAAACCCACAGCCAAUAUCAUACUGAAUGAGCAAAAACUGGAAGCAUUCCCUUUGAAAACUGGCACAAGACAGGGAUGCCCUCUCUCACCACUCCUAUUCAACAUAGUGUUGGAAGUUCUGGCCAAGGCAAUCAGGCGGGAGAAAGAAAGAAAGGAUAUUCAAUUAGGAAAAGAGGAAGUCAAAUUGUCCCUGUUUGCAGAUGACAUGAUUGUAUAUUUAGAAAACCCCAUCAUCUCAGCCCAAAAUCUCCUUAAGCUGAUAAGCAACUUCAACAAAGUCUCAGGAUACAAAAUCAAUGUGCAAAACAUCACAAGCAUUCUUAUACACCAAUAACAGACAAACAGAGAGCCAAAUCAUGAGUGAACUCCCAUUCACAAUUGCUUCAAAGAGAAUAAAAUACCUAGGAAUCCAACUUACAAGGGAUGUGAAGGACCUCUUCAAGGAGAAGUACAAACCACUGCUGAACAAAAUAAAAGAGGAUACAAACAAAUGGAAGAACAUUCCAUGCUCAUGGAUAGGGAGAAUCAGUAUCAUGAAAAUGGCCAUACUGCCCAAGGUAAUUUAUAAAUUCAAUGCCAUCCCCAUCAAGCUACCAAUGACUUUCUUCACAGAAUUGGAAAAAAACUACUUUAAAGUUCAUAUGGAACCAAAAAAGAGCCCGCAUUGCCAAGACAAUCCUAAGCCAAAAGAACAAAGCUGGAGGCAUCACGCUACCUGACUUCAAACUAUACUACAAGGCUACAGUCACCAAAACAGCAUGGUACUGGUACCAAAACAGAGAUAUAGACCAAUGGAACAGAACAGAGCCCUCAGAAAUAAUACCACACAUCUACAAUCAUCUGAUCUUUGACAAAGCUGACAGAAACAAGAAAUGGGGAAAGGAUUCCCUAUUUAAUAAAUGGUGCUGGGAAAACUGGCUAGCCAUAUGUAGAAAGCUGAAACUGGAUCCCUUCCUUACACCUUAUACAAAAAUUAAUUCAAGAUGGAUUAAAGACUUACAUGUUAGACCUAAAACCGUAAAAACCCUAGAAGAAAACCUAGGCAAUACCAUUCAGGACAUAGGCAUGGGCAAGGACUUCAUGUCUAAAACACCAAAAGCAAUGGCAACAAAAGCCAAAAUUGACAAAUGGGAUCUAAUUAAACUAAAGAGCUUCUGCACAGCAAAAGAAACUACCGUCAGAGUGAAUAGGCAACCUACAGAAUGGGAGAAAUUUUUUGCAAUCUACUCAUCUGAUAAAAGGCUAAUAUCCAGAAUCUACAAAGAACUCAAACAAAUUUACAAGAAAAAACAAACAACCCUAUCAAAAAGUGGGCAAAGGUUAUGAACAGACACUUCUCAAAAGAAGACAUUUAUGCAGCCAAAAGACACAUGAAAAAAUGCUCAUCAUCACUGGCCAUCAGAGAAAGGCAAAUCAAAAAACCACAAUGAGAUACCAUCUCACACCAGUUAGAAUGGCAAUCAUUAAAAAUUCAGGAAACAACAGGUGCUGGAGAAGAUGUGGAGAAAUAGGAACGCUUUUACACUGUUGGUGGGACUGUAAACUAGUUCAACCAUUGUAGAAGACAGUGUGGUGAUUCCUCAAGGAUCUAGAACUAGAAAUACCAUUUGAUCCAGCCAUCCCCUUACUGGGUAUAUACCCAAAGGACUAUAAGUCAUGCUGCUAUAAAGACACAUGCACACGUAUGUUUAUUGCAGCACUAUUCACGAUAGCAAAGACUUGGAACCAACCCAAAUGUCCAUCAAUGAUAGACUGGAUUAAGAAAAUGUGGCACAUACACACCAUGGAAUACUAUGCAGCCAUAAAAAAAGGAUGAGUUCACGUCCUUUGUAGGGACAUGGAUGAAGCUGGAAACCAUCAUUCUCAGCAAACUAUAGCAAGAAUGAAAAACCAAACACCGCAUGUUCUCACUCGUAGGUGGGAACUGAACAAUGAGAACACUUGGACGUAGGAAGGGGAACAUCACCCACCAGGGCCUGUUGUGGGGUGGGGGGGGAGGGGGGAGGGGGGAGGGAAAGCAUUAGGAGAUAUACCUAAGGUAAAUGACAAGGUAAUCAGUGCAGCACACCAACAUGGCACAUGUAUACAUAUGUAACAAACCUGCACGUUGUGCACAUGUACCCUAGAACUUAAAGUAUAAUAAAAAAAAGGGAGAGAGAGAGAAAAGAGAAAUCUAAAAAAAAAAAAAUACCAAAGACAAUCUUCACCGAAAUAGCAAAAACACAAUCCUUAAACUUGCAUGGAACCACAAAAGACCACAAAUAGGACAAACAAUACUGAGCAGGCAGAAUGAAGCUGGAGGCACUACACUGCCUGACAUCAAAAUACAGUCGACUCUUCAACAACAUAGAUUUGAACUGUAUAGGUUCAUUUAUACGUGGAUUUUCCCCAUAAUCUAACAAGGAUAGAAUGCAAUAUUCACAAAAGUGAAAACUAUGUAUACAGAUGACUGACAUUUUGUAUAUGCGCAUUACACAGGGCUGACUCUGGGACUUGAAUAUACAUGGCUUUUGGUAUAUACAGGGGGUCUCGGAAGCAAUCCCCCUUGUAUACAAAACAAUGGUAACCAAAUUAGCAUGCAAUGGGCAUAAAACAGACAUAUAGACCAAUGGAACAGAAUAGAGAACCCAGAAGUAAAUAAAUUUAUUUACAGACAACUGGUUUUUGACAAAGGUGCCAAGAACACACUCUGGGGAAAGGACACCAUGUUGAACACAUCAUGUUGGGAAAACAGGAUAUCAUAUGCAGAAGAAUGAAACUAUACUAUCUCUCAGCAUAUAAAAAAAUCAACUCAAAAUUGAUUAGAGACUUAAACAUGAGACCUGAAGCAAACAGUACUAGAAGAAAACAGAAGGGAAACCCUUCAGGAUAUGGGUCUAGCGAAGAUUUUAUGGGUAAGACUUUAUAAGCACAGGCAACAAAAACAAAAAUAGACAAAUGGGACUGUAUCAAACUAAAAACCUACACAUAAAAGGAAAUAAUAAACUAUUAAGAGAUAUCCUGUAGAAUGGGAGAAAAUAUUCAUCUGACAAGGGAUUAAUAUCCGGAAUAUACAAGGAAUUCAAACAAUUCAACAGCAAAAAACACCAGAUUAUCUGAUUUAGAAAUGUGCAAAAUAGAACAACUGGCCAACAGGUAUGUGAAAAAAUGCUCAACAUCUCUCAUCACAGAAAUGCAAGUCAAAGCCACAGUGAGACAUUAUUUCACCUCAGUUAGAAUGGCUGUUUUCAAAAAGACAAAACAUAACAAAUGCUGGCAAGGAUGCAGAGAAAAGGGAAAUAAUACACUAUUUGUGGGACUAUAAAUUAGUGAGUCAUUAUGGAAAAUACUGUGGUGUUUUGUCAAAAAAACUAAAAGUAGACUAUCAUACAGUUUGACAAUCCACUACCGGGUAUUGACUCAAAGGAAAGGAAAUCAGUAUAUAAAAAAGAUAUUUGCAUUCUCAUGUUUAUUGCAGUACUGUUCACAACAGUUAAGAUAUGGAAUCAACUUAAAUCUCCAUCAGCAGAUGCAGAGAAAGAAUGUGGUAUGUAUACACAAUGGAAUAUUAUUCAGUCAUAAUAAAGCAUUAAGUCCUGUCAUUCACAGCAACAUGGAUGAACUUGGAUAAUAUGUUAAAUGAAAUUAGGCACAGAAAGAUGGAGGAUUUUGACUGCUCACAAAACAGAGAAAUGAUAUUUGAGUUGAUGAAUAUGCUAAUUACCCUGAUUUGAUUAUGACACAUUAUAUACAUGUAUCACAAUAUCACUGUGUAUAUCCCAUAAAUAUCUACAAUUAUUACAUGUUGACUAAAAAUAAAAGGACAAAGAAAAAGACUCCUAGAAGAAAAACCCACAAGGAGCAUCAUAAUGGUGAAAAGACUAAGAGCUUUUCCUCUAAGAUCAGGAAUAAAGCAAGAUGCGCAUUUUAGCCAUUAUAUUAAACAUAGUAGUGGCUUUCUAGCCAAAGAAUAUGGAAAAGAAAUAAAGGCAUCAUUUAGAAAGGAAGAAUUAAAAUUAUGUUUGUUCAUAGAUAUGAUCAUAUUUGUAGAAAUCCCUGAAAACUCACCACAAAAACUGAAUAAAUUAAUUCAGCAAAGUAGCAGGAUAGUAAGUCAGUACACAAAAUUCAGUUGCAUUUCUUUUUUUUUUUUUUUUUUUUUGAGGCAGAGUCUUGGUCUGUCGCCCAGGCUAGAGUGUAGUGGCGCGAUCUCGGCUCACUGCAAGCUCUGCCUCCCGAGUUCACGCCAUUCUCCUGCUUCAGCCUCCCAAGUAGCUGGGACUACAGGCACACGCUGCUAUGCCUGGCUAAUGUUUUUGUAUUUUUAGUAGAGAUGGGGUUUCACCAUGUUAGCCAGGAUGGUCUCGAUCUCCUGACCUUGUGAUCUGCCCUCCUCAGCCUCCCAAAGUGCUGGGAUUACAGGCGUGAGCCACUGCGCCCAGCUUUCAGUUGCAUUUCUAUACAUUAAUCACAAACAAUCUGAAAGGGAUAUUAUUAACACAACUCUAUUUACACGACAGCAUCAGGACACUCAGCCUUGGCCACCAAGGACCUUUGUAAUGUUUGCCACUGCUGACCUCAGCUGAUGGAGCUGCAAGAAGAGUAUUCCAUUAUAUCCUCAUCUGGGCUACAGCUGCUGCACCCUACCUACUUAACACUCCAUCAAGUGAGCAGAUUUCAAUUCAUUGUAACAAGAAACAGAAAAACCAAGGAAACAUAGCACCCACCUGAGAAAUACAAUAAUUUUCAGGGACUGACUCCCAAGAAAUUGGGAUACAUUAAUUGCCUUACAGAAAAUUAAAAACGACUGAUUUAAGGAAGUUCAGUGUGCUACCAGAGAACAGAGAGACAACCUAAUGAAAUCAUUAAUACACAAAAGGAGACAUUCAAUAAAGAAAUAGAAAUCCUAAAAAAAAAACAAACAUUUUGGAGGUGAAGAAUAUAGUGCAUGAAAUGAAAAGUGAAAUAGAAAGCAUCAGCAGCAGACUUGAUCAAAUAGAAGGAGGAAUUCAUCAACUGGAGGAUAAAUUAUUUGAAAAUAACCAGUAGAGGAGAAAAAUAAAGAAUGAAAAGGUAACAAGGGAAGUUUACAGGAUUUAUGGGACACCAUCAGGAGAGUUAAUGUUCACACAGGAUUUAUAGAAGGAAAGUAGAGAGGUAAAGGGUAGAAAGUUAAUUCAGAGAAAUAAUGGCUGAAAACUUCCCAUAUCUGGGGCUCUUCCCAGAUUGAUGGACAUCUAGGUACAUGAAGCUCAAAGAAUUACAAUUAGUUUCCAUCUAAAAGAGGUUUCACCUAGAUAUAUUGCCAUCAAAAUGUAAAAAAUGGAAGACAAGAUAAUUUUGAAAGCGGCAAGAUAAAUAAAGUUCUUACAUCUGCAGGAACCUCCAUAAGGCUAUCAGUGGAUUUCUGAGCAAAAACUUUCCAGGCCAGGAAACAAUAGGAUUAUAUAUUCAAAGUUCUGAAAGAUAAAAAACUGCCAUCUAAGAAUACUUUACACAGCAAAGCUGUCCUUCAGAUAUGAAACAGAUACAAGACUUCCUCAGGUAAACAAAAGUUGAAGGAGUUUAUCAGCAACUACUCUUGCCUUACAAGAUAUGCCAGAGGGAGUUAUUCAGGCUUAAAUGGAAGGAUGAUAAUUAGUAACAUGAAAACAUAUGAAAGUACAAAAUUCACUGAUAAAUAAAUAUACGGGCAACUUAAGAAUACUCUAAUAGUGUAAUGGUAGUAUAUAAAUCACAUAACUCUAGUAUAAAGGUUAAAAGAAAAAUAAUUAAAAAUUACUAUUGUUUUCAUAAUUUCUCAAUGGAUAUGCAAUAUUAAAAGGUGUACCUUGGGGCAUCAAAAAUAAAAUGUAGCGGGGGAAGUAUAAGAUCAAAAUAUUCCCCCCAAACAAAGAGGGAACAAUCCCAACUUAUUUUACAAGGCUAGCAUUGCCCUCAUACUAAGGCCAGACAAGGACAAUAUAAGAAAAGAAAAUAACUGGCUGAUAUUUUUUUAUGACUAUACAUUUAAAAAUUUUCAACAAAAUAUGAUCAAACUGAAUUUAACAGCACAUUAAAAAAAUCAUAUAUCACAAACAUGGGAUUUAUCCUUAGUACAUAAGGACAGUUAAGUGUACAUAUACAAGAAAUGGGAUACUUUAAUAAAAUCAAAGAUAAAAAUCAUACAAUCAUUUUGAUAAGUGCAAAUAAUGCAGUUCACAUAAUUCAACAUCCUUCCAUGAUAAAAACUAUGAACAAAUUAGGUAUAGAAGGAAUGUACUGCAACACAAUAAAGGCCAUAUAUGAAUAGCCCACAGCUAACAUCAUACUCAAUGCUGAAAAGCUGAAUGCCUCUCCUCUAAGAUGAGGAACAAGAAAAAGAUAUUCUCACCACUUCUAUUCAACACAGUACUGGAAGUCCUAGCCAGAGGAAUUGGGCAAGAAAAAUAAAUAAAUACACUCAAAUCAGAAAGAAGGAAGUAAAAUUGUCUCUGUUUGCAGAUGACAUCAUAUAUGUAGAAAAUGCUACAGACUCCACAAAAAAAACCUGUUAGAAGUAAUAAUCUAACUCAGUAAAGUGGCAGGAUACAAAAUCAGCAUUCAGAAGUCAUUUGCGUAUCUAUACACUAAUAAUAAACAACCUGAAAAACAAAUUAAGAAAACAAUUUCAUUUAAAAUAGCAUCAAAAAGAAUAGAGAGCUCCCAAAUAAAUCCUUUCAUAUAUGAACGCAUGAUUUCUGACAAGCAUGCCAUGUCCAUUCAAUGGCAAAUGGAUUCUCUUUUCAACAAAUGGUGCCAGGAAAACUGGAUAUCCUCACGUGAGAGAAUGAAGUCGAGACCUUUACCUAACUCCAUAUACAAAAAUUAACUCAAAGUGGACCACAGACCUAAAUGUAAGACCUAAAACUAUAAAACUCUUAGAAGAAAACAUGGGGCAAAAACUGCAUGACAUUGGAUUUGGUAUUGACUUCAUUUGGAUAUAAUAUGAAAGGCACAGAUAAAAUAAAAAAUAGAGAAAUUGGACUGCAUAACAUUUAGGCAUACAUUUAACCAAGGAGAUAAAAGACCUAGACACUGAAAACUAUGAAACAUUGAACAAAUUCUAAGAUGAUACAAAUAAAUGGAAAGAUAUCUGGUGUUCAUAGAUCAAUAGAAUAAAUAUUGCCGAAAUAGCUAUACUACUCAAAGUGAUCUACAGAUUCAAGGCAAUGCCUAUCAAAUUUCCAGUGACUUUUUUUCACAGAUAUAGACAAAAAAAAUCCUAAAAUUUGAAAGAAACUACAAAAGACCUUAAAGAUCUAAAGCAUACUUGAGCAAUAAGAACAAAGUGAAAGAUAUUACACAUGCUUAUUUUGAAUUAUAUUUCAAAGUUAUGGUACUGGUAUAGAAAUAAACCAAUGGAACAGAAUAGAAAGCAUAGAAAUAAACCCACACAUUUAUGGUCAACUAAUCUUUGACAAAGACACCAAGAGUACACAAUGGGGAAAGGGUACUCUCUUGAAUAAAUGGCACUGUGAAACCAGGAUAUCCACAUGCAAAAAAAUUAAAUUGGAACCUUACCCUACACUGUAGAGAAAAGUGAAUAAGAUUUAAACAUAUGACCUGAAACCAUAAAACCUAUAAAACAGGGAAAAGCUCCUUGCCAUUGGUUUUUGUGACAAUUUUUUAGAUGUGACAUCAAAAGCACAAGGAAUAAAACGCAAAAAUAAAUUAGAACUACAUCAAACAAAAAAGUGUCUGCACAACAAAGGAAACAACAAAAUGAAAAGGCAGCACAUGUAGCGGGAGAAAAUAUUUCCAACCAUAUAUCUGAUAAGCUAUUAAUAUCCAAUAUAUAUAAGGAACUCAUAUAACUAGCAAAAAAACUUAAUAACCCAAUUAAUAACCUGUUAAGAUGGACAAGGGACUGAAUAGACAUUUAUUCAAAGAAGACAUACAGAUGGUCAACAGGUAUAUAAAAAGGUGCUUAACAUCACUUAUCAUCAGGGAAAUGCAAAUGAAAACCACACUGAGAUAUCACCUCAUAACUGUUAGAAUCGCUAUUAUCAAAAAGUCAAAAGAUAGCAAGUGUUGGUGAGGAUGUGGAGAAAAGGUGUCCCUUAUACAUUUUUGUUAGGAAUGUAAAUUGAUACAGUCAUUAUGGAAAACACGAUAGAUUUUCUUUAAAAAAUUAAAAUUGGAACUGCUAUAUGAUCCAGCAGUCUCAGUUCCGGGUAUAUCUAAGGAAAACAAAGUCAGUAUCUUGAAGAGGUAUCUGCACUCCCAUGUUCAUUGUAGUGUUACAGUAGUCAAGAAAUGAGCAACAUAGUAUUCAUAGGCAUGGUGGCUUGUACCUGUAAUCCCAGUACUUGGGGGUGGCCAAGGUGAAGGAUAGCUUGAACACAGGAGUUUGAGACCAGCCUAGGAAACAUAGUGAUACCCUAUCUCUACAUAAAAUUUUAAAAAUUAGCUGGGCAUGGGGGUGCAUGACUGUGGUCCCAGCUACUCAGGAGGCUGAGGCAGGAGGAUCACUUGAGCCCAUGAGGUUGAGGCUACAGUGAACUGUGAUUGUGCCACUGUACUCCUGCCUGGAUGACAGAUGGAGACCCUGUCUCAAAAAGAAAGGAAGAAAAUAGUGUGUGUGUGUGUAUCACCAAAUUCCCAAAUAAACACAUCACAUACAUAUACAUACAGACACACACACACACAUAUAUACACACACACAAUGAAAUAUUCAUCCUUUAAAAAGCAGGAAAUCAUGCAAUUUAUGACAACAUAGAUGAACCUGGAGGAUAUUAUGCUAAGUGAAAUAGCCAGACACAGAAAGACAAAUACUGCACUAUCCCAGUUACAUAUGGAAUUCUAAAAAGCUUGAACUCAGAGAAACGGAGAGUAGAAGGGUGGUUACUAGGGGUCAGGGAGUAGGGGAAAUAGGAAAUGUUGAAGGGUACAAACAUAGAGUUAUCAGAUGAAUAAGUUCUUGACAUAACGUCCAGAUUGGUGACUAUAGUUAAUAUAUUCUAUACUUGGAAUUUGCUAAGAGAGUAUAGCUUAGGUAUUCUGACCACACACACGCACACACAUGGCAACUAUGUAAGGUAUAUGUUAAUUGGCUUGAUUGUAGUAAUCAUUUCACAGUAGGUCAAAUAUGUUCUUAAAUAUAUGCACUUUUAAUUUGUCAAUUAUACCUCAAUAAAAGCUGAAAAAAGCAUCAAGAAUAACAAACUUAGGAACCAACUUUACCAAGGAGGUGAAAGUCUUGUACAAUGAAAAUUACAAAACAAUGCUGAAAGAAAUUAAAGUAGACAUAAAGGGAAAACACCUCCUAUGUUCAUGGAUUGGAAGGCCAAUAUUGUUAAGGUGUCAGUACCACACAAAACAAUCUACAAAUCCAAGGUAAUCCCAAUAAAAAUCCUAAUGAUGUUAUUUGCAGAAAGAAGAAACCCCAUCCUAAAAUUCACAUGGAAUCUCAAGGGACCUUGAAUAGCUAAAACAUUCUUGAAAAUGAUGAACAACAUUGGAGGACUCACACUUUCUGAUUUGAAAACUUACUACAGGCCAGGUACAAUGGCCUACACCUGUAAUCUCAGCACUUUUGAAGGCUGAGGUGGGAGGACUUCUGAGUCCAGGAGUUUGAGACCAGCCUGGGGAACACAGGGAGACCUCAUCUCUACAAAAAAUAAAAUAAUUGGCCAGGUGUAAUGGUACACACUUCUAUUCCCAGCUACUCAAGAAGCCGAGGUGGGAGGAUUGCUUGAGCCUGGGAGAUUGAGGUGGCAGUAAGCAGUGAUAAUGCCACUGUACUCCAGCGUGGGCAACAGAGUAAGAAUGUCUGAAAAACAAACAAAAACCCCAACUUAUUACGAAGCUACAGUAAUCAAAACUAUGUGGUAUUGACAUAAAGAUGUAGAGACCAAUGGAAUUGAAUAGAGAGCCCAAAAAUAAACCCUUGUAUACAUGAUCAAAUGAUUCCUGAGAAGAGUGCCAAGACCAUUCAAUAGGGAAAGUGCUGUAUUUUCAACAAAUGGUGCCAGGAUAACUGAAGUUGAGACCCUUACCUAAUACCAUACACAAAAAUUAACUCAAGAGAAUGAAGUUGAGAUCCUUACCUAACCAUGUAUAAAAGAGAAUGAAGUUGAGACCCUUACCUAACACUGUGUACAAAAACUUACUCAAAAUGGGUCAAAGUCCUAAAACUAUGAAGUCUUAUAAGGAAACAUAGGGGAAAAACUUUACAUCAUUGGCAGUGCUUCUUGUAUGCGACACCAAAGGCACAGGCAAUAAAAGUAAAAAUAGAUAAAUUGUACUUGCACAGGCAAUAAAAGUAAAACUAGAUAAAUUUUAAAAAUUUACAUUGUGUGCAUUAAAAUAAUAUCAACUAAGCAAUAAGACAACCUACAGAAUGGGAGAAAAAUUUGCAAAUCACAUACCUGAUAAGGGAUUAAUGUCCAGAUUAUACAGAGAACUUCUAAAAGUCAUCACCAAAAAACAAUGCACCUGAAAAAUGGGCAAAAGGGCCAGGCACGGUGGCUCACGCCUGUAAUCCCAGUACUUUGGGAGGCUGAGGCGGGAGGAUCAUGAAGUCAGGAGAUUGAGACCAUCCUGGCUAACAGGGUGAAACCCCGUCUCUACUAAAAAUACAAAAAAUUAGCCAGGCGUGGUGGUGGGCGCCUGUAGUCCCAGCUACUCGGGAGGCAGGAGAAUGAUGUGAACCCAGGAGGCAGAGGUUGCAGUAAGCCGAGAUGGCACCACUGCACUCAGCUUGGGCAACAGAGUGAGACUCCAUCUCAAAAAAAAAAAAAAAAGGGCAAAGGACUUGGACAGACGUAUCUCCAAAGAAGAUAUACAAAUGGAUAAUAGUACGUGAAAAGUUGUUUAACAUCUCUAGUCAUUAGGAAAUACAAGUCAAAACCACAACCUUACAUACACUCAGAUGACUACUAUUAAAAAAAUAAACACAGCCUAGGCAACAUAGUGAGACCCAUCUCUAGUAUCAGCUACGUGGGAGGUUAAGGUGGGAGGAUAGCCUAAGCCCAGAGGUCUAGGUUGAGGCUGCAGUGUGCCAUGAUCAUGCCACUGCAUUCCAGCCUAAGUGACAGAGCCAGAUCUUGUCUCAAAAAAAUCCCACAUAAACAGAAAAUAACCACUGCUGGAAGGGACAUGGAGAAAUUGGAAUCCUUGUGCACUGUUAGUGGGAAUGCAAAAUGGUACAGCCUCUGUGUUAAACAGUUUGGUGUUCCUUCAAAAAUUAAAAACAGAAUUAUCUGAUCCAUCAACUCCACCUCUGUGUAUACACCCAGAAGGAUUAAAAGCAGUCUCAAAGAUAUAUUUGUAUACCCACGAUUGUAGUGGCAUUAUUUACAACAGUUAAAACAUCAAUGCAACCCAAAUGUCCAUGGAAGAAUGGAUAAGCAAAAUGUGGUAUAUACAUACAAUGUAAUAUUAUUCAGCUUUAAAAAAAAUAGAAAUUUUGACACAUGCCACAACAUGGAUGAACCUCGAGGCCAUUAUGUUAAAUGAAAUACAGCAGUCACAAGAAGAGAAGUACUGUAUGUUUCCACUUAUAUGAGGUAUGUAGAAUAGUCAAAUCAGAGACAUAGAAAGUACAAGGUGGUUUCCAAGAGAUGGCGGUGGUGGGGGGGUUGGGGAAUUAUUGUUUAAUGGAUAUAGAGUUUCAUAAUUACAAAUGACAAGUGUUAUGGAGAUGGAUGAUAGUGAUGAUUGCACAGCAUUGUGAACGUAUCUAAUACAUUCACUGAAUUGUACACUAAAAUUGGUUAGGAUGGUAAUUUUUAUGUUAAGUGUAUUUUGCCACAAUAAAAGAUUUGGAAAUCAACAACAAAUAGAAAUCCCAGAAGAUAACAUAGGAAGAAAUCUAGAUGAUCUUUAGUUUGGUGAUGGCUUUUUAGAUAUGACACCAAAGGCAUGAUUCAUGAAAGAAAUAAUUGAUAAGCUAGACUUUGUUAAAAAUAAAAGUUUCUGCUCUGUAAAACAUACUGUCAAGAGGAUGAAAGGACAGGCCACAGAAGGGAGACAAUACUUGUAAAAGAUAUACCUGAUAAAGGACUCAUCCAAAAUAUAUAAAGAACCUUAAAAACAUAACAAUUAGAAAACAAACAAUCUGAUUACAAAAUGGACUGAAGACCUUAACAGACAUCUCACCAAUGAAGAUAUACAGAUGGCAACUAAGUAUAUGAAAAGAUGCCCCACAUCUUACGUCAUUAGGGAAAUGGAAAUUAAAACAAGAAAUGUGAUAUAUCUACACGCUUAUUAGAAUGGCCAAAAUUCAAAACACUGACAAUACCAAAUACUUGCCAAUAUGUGGGGCAACAGGAACACUCAUCCAUUGCUGGUGGGAAUGCAAAAUGGUACAGCCACUUUGACAUAUACCAUUAAUGGGAAUGUAAAGUGGUGCAGCCCUGGUGGAGAAGAGUUUGGUGGUUCUUCAAAGAAUUAAAAAUGGAAUUAUCAUAGGAUCCAUCAAUUCCACUUCUGAAUGUGUAUACAUAUCCCCCGAAGAAUCCAGAGUAUAUCGAAAUCAGUGGUUUCUUAUAAAAUUAAACAUAUUCUUACCAUGCAGUUCAGCAAUCACAUCCUUGGUAUUUACUCAAAGGAGGUGAAGACUUAUAUUCACAUAAAAAUCUGCACAGAGAUGUUUACAGAAGCUUUAUUUGUGAUUGUUGAAAUUGGAAGCAACCGAGAUGUCCUUCCAUAGGUGAGUAGACAGAUAAACUGUAGUACAUCCAGGCAAUGAAAUAUUAUUCAUCACUAAAUAGAAAUGAGCUAUCAAGCCAUGAAAAGAUAUGGAGGUAAUUAAAAAACAUAUUACUAUGUGAAAUAAGGCAAUCUGAAGAAACUACAUACUGUAUGAUUCCAAUCAUAUUGCAUUUUAGAAAAGGCAAUGCUAUGGAGGCAGUAAAAAGUUCAGUGGUUGCCAAGGGUUGUUGGGGAAGAAGGGUUGAAUAGGCAGUGCACAGAGUACUUUUAGGGCAGUGAAAAUGUACAAAUAUAUGUAAAUAUACGUAUCUGUAUGAUACUAUAAUGGUAGAUACAUGCAUAUUAGUCCGUUCUCACAGUGCUAUAAAGAACUACCUGAGACUGGGUAAUUUGUGAGAAAAGAGGUUUAAUUGACUCACAGUUUUGUAGGCUGUACAGUAAGCAUGGCUGGCAGGCCUCAGAAACUUAAAAUCAUGGCGGAAGGCAAAGGAGAAGCAGGCACAUCUUUACCAUGGCAGAACAGGAGAGGGAAAGAAAGUGAGAUGGGAAGUGCCACACACGUUUAAACAACCAGAUCUCAUGAGAACUCACUAUCAUGAGAACAGCAAGGGGGAAGUUUGCCCCCCACCAGGCCCCUCCCCUGACACAUGGGGAUUACAGUUCAAGAUGAGAUUUGGGUGGGAACACAGAGCCAAACCAUAUCAACAUGUUACACAUUUGUAGAAACCCACAGAAUGUACACCCCAACAGUGAGCCCUAAUGUUAACUAGGGACUUUGAUAAUAAUGUGUAAAUGCAGAUUCAUAAGUUGUAACAAACGUGCCACUCUGGUGGGAGAGUUGGUAAUGGGAAAAGCUCUGUAUGUAUGGGUGCAGUGGGUAUACGGGAAAUCUCUGUACUUACCUCUCAAUUUUGCUGGAACCCUAAAACUGCUCUAAAAAUAUAAAGUCUUUAAAAUACACAUACACACAUACAGACAAUCGAAUAGAGAAUCAUAAUGGUACACUAUCAGAAAAUCAUCAAACACAAAAAAAGGCAGUAAGGGAGGAAAUGUUGUAUUUAAAAAAUGUAAGGCAAAAGAAAAGGCACAAAAUGUCAGAACUUCUUUUUUAUAAGUAAGUACUUUAAAUGUAAGUCGAUUAAAUUCUCCAAAAAGCAGAGGUUGGCAGAAUGGAUUUAAAAGAAAACCAUCAACCUAUGCUGUAUAUAACAAACUCACUUUUGGUCUAAAGACACAAGUAGAUUGAAAGUGAAAGAAUGAAAAAUGAUAUUUCAUACAAAUAGUAACCUAAAGAAAGCUGGAGGUAAUUAUACUAAUAAAAGAAAUAAACUUGAAUUUAAAAAUUGUUAUAGGAGACAAAGGAGGACAUUACAUACUGAGAAAAUGGAAAAUUACUCAAGACUUCGCAAUUGGAAACGUAUACACACCAAAAUAUAGAGCCCCAGAAUAUAAGAAAAUAUACUGACAGAAUUGGAGUGAGAAAGACAGUUCUACAAUAAUACUUAGGGACUUCAAUAACGUACUUUCAGUAAUGGGUAGAGUCAAAGAAGAAAUGAAAACAGAAACUUAAAAAUAUCUUCAGACAAAUGACAGUGGGAACACAACAUACCAAAAGCAAAACAUGCAGCAAAAGCAGUUCUAAGAGGGAAGUUUACAGCAAUAAAUGCCUUGCCUACAUUAAAAAAGAAGAGAUAUUUCAAAUAGCCCAAAAUUGUACCUCAAGGAAUUAGAAAAAGAAGAACAAACUAAAGCCAAAGUUAACAGAAGGAAAUAAUAAAGAUCAGAACAGAGACAAGUUAGAAAGAAAAACCAUAGGGGAAAAAAGUCAGUAAAACUAAGACUUCAAUUUUUGAAACAAAGAAUUGAUUUUUGAAAAAUAAAAUCAACAAACUCUUGGACUAAGAAAGAGGACAAAAUCAGAAAUGAAAAUGGAGAAUAUAUUACAACAGGUACUUCAGAAAUAAAAAGGAUCAUAAGGGACUUUUAUGAACAAUUAUAUCCCAACAAAUUGGAUAACCUAGAGGAAAUGGACAAAUUCCUAGAAAAAAACCAACCUGCUAAGAUUAAAUCAGGAAUAGAAAGCCUGAACAGACCAAUAGCAAAGAGAUCACAGUGGUAAACUAAAGAGCUUCUGCAUAGCAAAAGAAAUUAUCAACAGAGUAAACAGACAACAUAUAGAAUGGGAGAAAAAAUAUUUGCAAACUAUUCAUCUGGCAAAGGUCCUAUGUCCAGAAUCCAUAAGGAACUUAAACCAAUCAACAAGCAAAAAACGAAUAAUCCAAUUGAAUUGGCAAAGGACAGGAACAUACAUUUCUUAAAAGAAAAUACAGAAGUAGCCAAACAAAAAAACAUUCUCAUGAUCACUAAUAAUCAGAAAUGCAAAUAAUGAGGCCAGGCACGGUGGCUCAUGCCUGUAGUCCUAGCACUUUGGGAGGCUGAGGUGCGUGGAUCAUCUGGGGUCAGGUAUUCGAGACCAUCCUGGCCAACAUGGUGAAACCCCGUCUCUACUAAAAACACAAAAAUUAGCCAGGUAUGGUGGCGGUCACCUGUAAUCCCAGCUACUCAGGAGUCUGAGACAGGAGAAUUGCUUGAACCCAGGAGGUGGAGGUUGCAGUGAGCCGAGAUUGCGCCACUGCACUCCAGCCUGGGAGACAGAGCAAGACUCUUUCUCAAAAAACAAACAAACAAACAAAAAAGCAAAAAACAGACAAAAAAAAACAAAACAAAACAACAACAACAAAAAAACACCAAACCAUAAUGGGAUGCCAUCUCACACCAGUCAGAAUGGCAAUUAUUAAAAAGUCAAAAAAAUAAAAGUUGCUGGGAAGGCUGCAGAGAAAAGGGAACGCUUAUACACUGUUGGCAGGAAUACAAAUUAGUUCAGCCACUGUGCUAAGCAGUUUGGAGUUUUCUCAAAUAACUGAAAACAGAACUACCAUCUGACCCAGCAAUCCCAUUACUGGAUAUAUAUUCAAAGGAAAAUAAAUUGUUCUAUCAAAAAGACACAUGCAUUUGUAUGUUCAUCACAGCACUAUUCACAACAGCAAAGACAUGGAAUCCACUUAGAUGCCCAUCAGUGGUGGAUUGGAUAAAGAAAAUGUGGUACAUGUACACCAUGGAAUACUAUGCAGCCAUAAAAAUGAAUGAAUUCGGCCAGGUGCGGUAGCUCUCACCUGUAAUCCCAGCACUUUGGGAGGCCAAGGCGGGUGGAUCACCUGAGGUCAGGAGUUCGAGACCAGCCUGACCAACAUGGAAAAACCCUGUCUCUACUAAAACUACAAAAUUAGCUGGACGUGGUGGCGCAUGCCUCUAAUCCCAGCUACUCAGGAGGCUGAGGCAGGAGAAUCACUUGAACCCGGUAGGCGGAGGCUGCAGUGAGCCGAGAUCAUGCCAUUGCCCUCCAGCCUGGGCAACAAGAGCGAAACUCCGUCUAAAAAAAAAAUAAAAAAAAAAAAUAUAUAUAUAUACAUGAAUGAACUUACGUCCUUUGCAGCAACAUGGAUGCAGCUAGAGGCCACUAUCUUAAGCAAAUUAAUGCAGGAACAGAAAACCAAAUACUGCAUGUUACCACUUGCAAGUGGGACCUAAACACUGAGUAAACAUGGACAUAAAGAUGAUCAGUAGACACUGGGGACUACUUGGGGGAGGAAUGGAGAGGUGGGCUGAAAACCUACCUAUUGGGUACUAUGCUCACUACCUGGGUGAUAGGCUUAUCCACACUCCAAACCUCAUCAUCAUGCAGUAUACUCCAUAUACCAUGCAACAUAUAGACCUGUACAUAUACCCUCUAAAUCAAAAAUAAAAGUUAAAAAAACCCCAAAACCUCAAACAAAGAAAAGCCCAGGACCAGAUAGCUUCAUGACUGAAUACUACCCAAUAUUCAAAGAAUACCAAUACUUCUUAAACUCUUCCAAAAAAAUGCAGCUAUAGGGAAUACUUCCAAAAAAAAAAAAAUGCAGCUAAAGGGAAUACUUCCUAACACAUUUUAUGAGGCCAGCAUCACCUUGAUACCCAGGUGAGCCAAAGGCAUCACAAGAAAAGGAAACUACAGGCCAACAUAACCCAAGAAUACCGAUGCAAAAAUCCUUAAUAAAAUAUUGGCAGACUAAAUUUAACAAUACAUCAAAAAGAUUAUAUAUCAUGUCUAUGUGGAAUUAAUUUCUGGCAUGCAAAUCUUAUUUAAUAUACAUGUAGCAAUCAAUGUGAUACUAACAGACUGAAAGAUGAAAACCACAUGAUCAUCUCAAUUGACACACAAAAAGUAUUUGAUGAAGUUGAACAUCCUUUGUUGAUAAAUUCUAACAGUUCAGGUAUAGAAGGAACACUCCUCAAUAUAACGAAUGCCAUUUAUGAAAAGCCCACAGCUAACGUUAUAAUCAAUGAGGGAAAACAGAAGCCCUUCUACUAUGAACCAGUACAAGGCAAGGAUGCCCACUCUAGCUACUACUACUCAACAUAGUACUGGAAGUACUAGUACAACCAAACAGACAAGAAAAAGAAAUGAAAGACAUUCAAAUCAGGAAGUAAGAAGUAAUAUUAUCUUUAUAUGAAGAUGACAUGAUCCUACAUAUAGAAAACCCCGAAGACUCUGACAAAGCAACCUGUUAGAACUAAUAAAUGAGUUCAGUAAAGUUGUAGGAUAUAAAAUCAAUAUAAAACAGUAGUUGCAUUUCUAUACACAAAUAAUGACCUGGCCAAAAAAGAAAUCAAGAAAACAAUCCCAUUUAUGAUAGCAUCAAAAAAAUUGCUUAGGAAUAAAUUUAGCCAAAAAGAUGAAAGACCUGUACACUGAAAACUAUGAAUCAUUGAUGAAAGAAAUUAAACAAGAUACAAAUAAAUGGAAAGAUAUCCCAUGCUCAUGAAUCUGAAUAAUAUUGUUAAAAUGUCAAUAAUAUCCAAAUCAAUAUACAGAUUGAAUAAAAUCCCUAUCAAAAUCCCAUGGAAAAUUUUUUUAAAUUCUAAAGUUCAUUUGGAAUAGCAAGAACCUUAAGUAGCCAACGAAAUUCUGAAAAUUCUGUUCUGAAAAACAAAGGGAGACUUCAUACUUUCUGGUUUAUUUUACAAAACUAUUGAUCAAACAGUAUGGUCCUGGCAUAAAAAACAAACAUGUAGACCAGUGGAACAGAAUAGAGAGCCCAGAAAGAAAUUCAAAGAUAUAUGAUCAACCAAUUUUCCACAAGAACACGAAGAAAACAAUGCAGAAAGAUAGUCUCUCUCAUAAAUGACGUUAGGAAACCCAGUUCUGUGGCUUGUCCAACCCAUGGCCCACAGACCACAUGUAAGCCCAGGAUGGCUUUAAUGAGGCCCAACACAAAUUUGUAAACUUUGUUAAAACAUUGAAUUUUUUUGCAUUUUUUUAGCCCAUCAGCUGUUGUUAUUGUUAGUGUAUUUUAUGUGUGGCCUAAGACAAUUGUUCUUACAGUGUGGCCCCGGGAAGCCAAAAGAUUUGAUAUCGCUGCCUUACACCAUACAUAGAAAUAAACUCAAAAUGGAUAAAAGACCUAAACAUAAGACCAAAACCCACAACCAGAAGAAAACAUAGGGGAAAAGCUCGACAUGGCUCUGGCAGUGAUUUUUUGGAGAUCACACCAAAAGCUCAGGCUACAAAAACAAAUAAUUGGUAUACCAUCAAACUAAAAAACUUCUGCACAGGAACGGAAACAGUCAACAAAAGGAAAAGGCAACCUAUGGACUAGAAGAAAAUAUUUGCCAACCAUAUAUCUUAUAAGAGGAUAAUAUCCAAAAUUUAUAAGGAAUGCAUACAACUCAAUAACAAGAAAAUAGAUAACCCAAUUAAAAAAUGGGCAGUGGAACUGAGUAGACAUUUUUGCAAAGAAGUUAUAAAAAUGGCAAACACAUAUAUGAAAAGACAUUUAACAUCACUAAUCGUCAGGGAAAUGCAAAUCAAAAUUACUAUGCGAUAUCACCUCACACUCAUGAGAAUAGCUAUUAAGUGUUGGCUAGGGUUAGGGAACUCUUGUACAGUGUUGGUGGGACUGUAGAUUGGUGCAGUCAUAAUGAAAAACAGAAUGGUGGCUCCUAAAGAAAUUGAAAAUAUACUAUCAUCUGACCCACUAAUCCCUCUUCUAGGUAUAUUCCCAAAGAAAAUGAAAUCUCCACCUCAUAAAGAUAUCUGCGCUCCUAUAUUCAUUGUGGCAUUAUAUGCAUGAGUCACGAUAUGAAAACUUACGUGUCCAUUGAUGGAUGACUAAACUGUGGUGUGUAUGUCUACAAUGGAAUAUUAUUCCGCAUUAAAAAAGGAGAUCCUGCCACUUGCCACAUGGAUGAAACUGGAAGACAUUGUGCUAAGUUAAAUAAGCCAUAUACAAAUGAAAAGUUUUAAAUAAUCUCACCUAUAUGUAGAAUCUUAAAAAGAAAAAAGUCAAAUAUACAGAGAUAGAAUAAACUAGUGGUUACCAUGGGCAAGGUGUGGGGGAAGAAAAUGGAAAGAUGUAGGUCAAAGGAUACCAAGUAGCAGAUAUAUAGGAUGAACAAGUCUAGAGAUCUCAUGUAGAACAUGAGAAUAGUUAGUAUAUUGCAUUUGGAAUUUUUGCCAAUUGAGUAGAUCAUAGCUUUUCUCACUCAUACACACAAAAGAAUAACUGUGAGAUGAUGGACAUAUUAAUUUGCAUCACUAUGUUAACGAUUUAACUGUAUGUUUUAUACACUAAAUAUGCAUAUUUUUAAAAUUAAAAAAAAAAAACACAACAAGAUAAUGUACAGCCAGACAGAAGCCCAAUAAGAAAAGAGAGGACUUGAACAAUACCAUAAACCAACUAGACCUACAAACAUAUAUGGACACUCCACCCAACUACACAUUCUUCUCAAGUGCACAUGGAACAUUCCCUAGGAGGGAUGAUAUGUUAGGCCACAAAAGAGUCUCAAUAAAUUUUAAAAUAUAGAAAUCAUACAAAAUAUCUUCUCUAACUACAAUAUAGUGAGGCCAGAAAUCUGUAACAGAAGAAAAACCUAAAAAUUAACAAAUUCAGGGAAAUAAAACUACACACUCUUUAAAAAUUAUUGUGUCAAAGAAGACAUCAGAAGGGAAAUUAUAAAAUACUUUCAAAAAGUGAAAAUGACGACACAACAUACUCAGACUUAUGGGAUGUAGUGAAAGAAGUGCUCAGAGGAAAAAUUAUAGCUGUGAAUGCCCACACUGAAAAAGAAGAAGGAUCCAUAACCUAAUAUUAUACCUUACGUAACCAGAGAAAGAAGAACGAAGUAAACCUAAAGUUAAAAGAGAGAAUGAAAUAAUAUGUAUGAGUGGAGAUAAAACUGAAUUCGAGCUUAAAUAAACAACAGAGAUAAUUUAACAAAACCAAAAGUUGCUUGUUUUUGAAAAGAUCAAAGUUGAAAACCUUUAACUAGAAUGACUAAUAAAAAAUUAGAGAAGUUGCACAUAUCUAAAAUCAUAAACAAAAGUAGGAACACAACAAAAAAAAACAAAAAUAAGAAAAAAAAACAAAAGUGGGAACGAUAUAACUGAUCUUACAGAAAUAAAAAGUGUGAUAAAAGAAUACUAUGAAUAACUGUAUACCAACAAAUUAUAUAACCUAGAUAAGAUGGACGAAUUCACAAAAUACUAAUACAGACCAAAACAGAAAUUGAAAUUAUGAGCAGACCCAUAACAAGUAGAAAGUUUGAAUCAGUAACCAAAAACCUUCCAAUGAAGAAAAUGCUACACAGAUGGCGUCACUGUUGAAUUAUACCAAACACUUGAAGAAUUCACACCAAUCCCUCUCAAACUCUUCCAAAAAACAGAGGAGAAAAAACUUUGCAAUACAUUCUAUGAGGCCAGUAUUACAUGGAUUCCAAAGCCAGACAAAUAUACCACAAGAAAAGACAAACUAGAUACUAAAAUCUUUUAUUUAACAAAGUACUAGUAAGCCAAAUUCAGCAGCAUAUUAAAAAGGAUUAUAUAUCAUGACCACAUGGAAUUUAUCUCAAGAAUACAAGGGUGGUUCAGUACAAGAGUAUCAAUCAAUGUAAUACACCACAUUAAUACAAUGAAGGAUAAAAAAUCCAUGCAAUCAUUUCAAUUCACUCAGAACAAGCAUUUGACAAAAUUCUACAACCUUUCAGGAUAAAAACAUGGAACUUUCAAAAUGUGUUAAAGAGGAUUUGUGAAAAAUCCACAACUAAUAUACUUAAUGAGAAAAAAAACUGAAAAAUUUCUCCCAUAACAAAGAGUAAGAUAUGGCUGUAUGCUUUACCCAGUGCUAUUGAACAAUGUACUGAAAGUUUUAACCAUGACAAUUAGGCAGAUAAAUAAACAAACAGGUAAAUGAAUAGCAUCCAAAUUGGAAAGGAAGCAGUAAAACUCUUUAUUCAAUAAUGACAUCUUCUAUCUAGAAAAUCAAAGAAUCCACAAACUAGUAGAGCUAAUAAACAAGUCCAGCAAAAUUGCAGGGUACAUGUUCAACAUUUAUUUUAAGAAAAUCAUUUGUGCCUCUAUAUACCAGGAAUGAACAGCCCAAGAAGGAAGUCAAUUUUUAAAAUUCCACUUACAAUAGCAUCAAAAAGAGUAAAAUAGCUAGGAAUAAAUUAAAACAAGAAGGUGAAAGACUUCUGCACUAAAGACUACAAAACACUGUUGACAAAAAUUAAAGAAGACUUAAAUAAAUAGAACUAUACAUCCUGUGUUCACAGAUUGGAAGAUUAAAUAUUGUUAAGUUGGCGAUAUUACCCAGUGAUCUACAGAUUCAAUGCAACCCUUAUCAAAAUCCCAAGGGCCUUUUUAUUUGCAGAAAUGUAAAAACUGAUUUUAAAAUGUAAAUGGAAUUUUCCCAGGGCCCCAAACAAUCUAAAAUCAUAUUGAAAAAGAACAAAGUUGGAAGACUCAGGCCUGCCAUUUUCAAAACUUUUACAAAGCUGCAGUAAUCAAAACAAUGUGGUACUGACACAAUGUGGUCUCUAGGACACAAGGAUGGACAUAUAGACCAAUGGAAUAUAAUAGAGAAUGUAGAAAUAAACACUCACAUAUAUGAUCAAUUCAUUUUCAACAAAUGUAUCAAGAAUUCAGUGGGAAGAGUAGUCUUUUAACAAAUGGUGCUGGGGCAACUGGAUCCUCAUAUAUCAAAGAAUGAAGUUGGACCCAUAACUCAUAGCAUAUAAAAAUUAUCUCAAAAUGUAUCAGAGACCAAAAAAUAAGAGUUAAAGGCAUAAAUUUCUUAGUAGAAAACAGGAGUAAAUCUUUAUGACUUGAGAUUGGAAAUAAAUUCUUAGAAAAGACACAAAAAACACAAUAUUGUAAAUGUACUAAGUGACACUGAAUUGUACAUUUUGAAAUGGUUUCUGUUACUUAAAAAAUUUAAAGGGUGCACAGAAGACUAAAAAGCAGCACAGACAGAAUUAUCACCAGAAAAAGAAGACUCUAUAUUAAAUGUCAACAUGGAGAACACAUGUCAGAAAUAGGUAGUCCAGAGCAGCAGCUAUAGUGGAGGCUCUUGCAAAUGACUAAGAUUUGAGGUGGCACCCUCAGAGAAUCACCUCUUGGGGGUAGAUUCGAUUUAUGGAGUAGAUGUAUCUCAGAGACAUGGUAGGAAAGCCAAAGAAUGGUGAGCAUAGCUGCCAUCUAGAAACCACCUACACAUGCAAGCAUAAGAGAUUGGUUGAAAGGUUAUAGCACAGUCACACUAAGGAAUACUAUGCAACUUUAGCAAUGCAAUGAGAAAGAUCUCUGUGAAUGGAUGUUGAGUGAUUUCUAGGAGAUGUUGUUAGGUGAGAAAAGCAAAGUUCAAAAGGGCAUAUACAGAAUAGUACUUUUUUGGGAAAUGAGAAAAUAAUCAUGUCUUAUAAAGAGCAAACACACACAAACUAUAAACUAGAAAACACUGAAACUGGUUACCUAUAAUGGGUAGGGGGAAUUAGGAUGGAAGAGAUAUGGGUGAGAGGAAGAUUUCUCUCAGUAGCUCCUUUUGUUUAGUAUUGACUUUUGGAAGUAUGUUAAUGUUAUAUGUAUUCAAAAAAUAAAAUUAACAAGAUAGGGACCACUUCUGAGGUGGUGGAAUGAGCACCUUGAUAUAACCACUCCCUGAAAAGCAAUGAUAAAACUGGACAAAGAAAUAUAAAAUUGAAAAGUGCUAAUUAAAGAAAAAAUAUUAAGCCUUCCUAAGAAUAGCAGGGUUAUGAUUUAACGUGGGGCUGCCAUCUCCCCACCCAAGCUCAGGGGCACGGUAGGCUUGAGGACCAGCAACAAAGAAGGCUCAUCUGAUUUUGAAUUCCAUAGAAAACCCUAUGCACUAUGUUAAGCAACAAGGAUUUCAGUGGCAAAUAAUUGGAGGCAACCCACAUCACAGCAACCUAAUGUUUCAAUACUGGUUGGGCAAGCGACAGAUUAAGAAAAAUUUUAAAAGGAAUUCUGGAGAUAUGGAAGUUGUACAUGCUUGCAGGAGAGAUCAGAGAGGUUUCCUGCUAUCUACUUAUCCUUGGCUGACUGUGAGACCUUUUGCAAGCAGACAGUAAAAUACAGGACAGAGUUAUAAAGUGCCUGAACUUUGAAUGUCCCAACCCACACAUAGAUCCCCUCAGCAGAGGGUGGAAGAUUCACUGGCUCAAGAUGUUUAAACAAAUGUCUGACUAAUCAUGGCUUGACCACUAGGUUAUGCUGAUCCAGGGGUGACACCAAUGAAGCCAGGCUUACAAAACAAACAUAAGAAUUAAAACAAACAAAACUGAGCAAAGACACCAGUGGCUGCACACUGCAGGAGAACACAGACUCUGCAGAAUCCAUGCAGAGAAGGCAUACACAAGCGAGCAAACAAAUAAAUGAGUAACAGAAAUCAUCCCUGGUUAGGGAGAAGAACUAGAAUCCAGAGUUUCUACGAUAUAUUAUCUAAAGUAAGUUUUUAACAAAAAAAAUGAGAUAUGCAAAGAAACAGAAAAUUGUGACCCUUGAACAAGAAUAAUGAGCAAUAAAUAGGAAUUAUCUCUGAAGGGCCCCAAAUGUUAGGGCGCGAUUUCAAAGUAAGUAUUAUAACUAUGUUCAAAGAACCAAAAGAAACCACAUUAAAGAAUGCAAGUGUGAUGACAAAGACUCAUCAAAUAGAUAAUAUCAAUAUAGAGAUAGAAAUUAGAAACCAAAUAGAAAUUCUGUAGUUGUGAAAUAUAAUAACUUAGGUGAAAAACUCACUAGUGCGGCUAAGCAAAUUUGACCUGGCAGAAGAAAGAAUCAAUGAACUUCAACGCAGAUCCAUAAAGAUGAUUCAGACUGAAGAAUAGAAAGAAAAAUAAUGAAGAAAAAUGAAGAGAUACCCAUUGGAUACCAUAAUAUAGUGGUCCCCAACCUUUUUGGCAUGAGGGACCAGUUUUGUGGAAGACAAUUUUUCCACAGCCAGUUGGGGGAGGCUUUAGUUAGAUUCUCAUACGGAGUGCACAACCUAGAUCCCUCACAUGCUCAGUUCACAAUAGGAUUUGCUCUCUGUGAGAAUCUAAUGCCAUCACUGAUCAGACAGGAGGCAGAGCUCAGGCAGUAAUGCUUGCUUGCCUGCUGCUCACCUCCUGCUGUGUAGCCCAGUUUCUAAUAGGCCACAGACUGGUACCAGUCCAUGGCCCUGGGGUUGGGAACCCCUGUCCUAACAGGAUGUGUAACAAUGUAUGUGUAAUUAAGUUGUAACAUAUAUGUAAUUAAGAGUAGAAAACAUAUGUGGAAUUAAGGAGUAACAACAUAUGUGUUAAUAAGAGUACUGAGAAGGAGAGAAUAGGGCAGACAAAAAUAUUUGAGUAGAUUAUUAACCUGAAGCAGAUUGUUUUUGCUUAAGCUGCUUAUUGUAACCUCCAGAUUACACUUUAAAAAUGGGGGAAAUAAACUAACAAAGGAAUUAGAAUGGUACUCUAGAACAUAUCUAUUCAACCUGCAGAAGGCAGUAAAGGAGGAAGAGAGGAACAAAAGUGAUAUGAGACAUAUAGAAAAUAAAUAACAACAUGGUAGAUAUAAAUCCUUCCAUAUCAAUAAUUAUAUUACAUAUAAGUGAAUUAAAAACUCAAUAAAGAGCAGAGAUUGCCAGACUGCCUUAAAAGCAGGAUCCAAAUAUAUAUGGUCUAUAAGAGUCACAUUCUAGAUUCAAAGACAUAGUUGAAAGUAAAAUGAUGGAAAAAGAUGACAUGCAAACAGUAAUAAGAAAGCUAGAGUGACUGUACUAAAAUCAGACAAAAUUGGCUGGGUGCAGUGGCUCACACCUGUAAUCCCAGCAUUUUGGGAGGCUGAGGCAGACAGAUCACUCGAGGUCAGGAGUUCAAGACCAGCCUGGUCAACAUGGUGAAACUCUGUCUCUACUAAAAAUUAGCUGGGUAUGGUGGCAAAUGCCUGUAGUCCCAGCUACUUGGGAUGCUGAGGCAAGAGAACGGCUUGAAUCCGGGAGGCAGAGGUUGCAGUGAGCCAAGGUCACGCCACUGCACUCCAGCCUGGGCAACAGAGUGAGACUCCAUCCCAAAAAUAAAAUAAAAAUAAAUAAAAUCAGACAAAAUAGACUUUAAAAACAAACCAUGUUAUUAGAGAUACUGAGAAGCAUUUUACAAUGACAAAAGGGAAAAUUUAACAGGAAGAAAUAGAAAUCAUAAACAGAAGUCAUAAAGAAAUAAAAAUUUAUAACAGCUAAAAACACAGCCCUGAAGUAUAUGAAAUAAAACUGUCAGAAAUGAAGAGAGAAACAGACAACUGAACAAUAAUAGACAACUCAACAAUAAUAGUACUAACUCUUGUUGAUUUUCUGUCUUGUUGUUCUAUCAAUUAUUCAGAGUGAGUUAUUGAACUAUUACCCAACUACUAUUCUUGGAUGAAAUGGUGGGAGGUGAGGCUAUGUGGCACUCUGCUUAAUACCCUCCCCUGUUCUGGUGUCAGGGAGACAAAUGUGGAGCUGACUUUUCGUCAGAAACAGUGGUACCCAGAAAGUAGUGGGGUAACAGAUCCCAAGUGCUCAAAGUAAAAAAAAAAAAAAAAAAAAAAAAAAAAAGCCAACCAAGAAUACUGUGUCCAGAAAAGUUUCUUUCAAAAAGAAGGCAAAAUAAAAGCAUUCCCAGAUAAACAAAAACAGAAUUCCUUGUUAGCAGACCAGUUUUGUAAGAACUACUAGAGGAAGUUCUUCAGGCAAAAAGGAAGUGCUCCCAGGAAGUUCACAUAUAUCCAAAAGCAAAGAGCAAGGAGGUAAAUAGGAGCAAAGCUGUUCUAGAGUAAGGAAAUACCACCAGUUGGUAACUCAAAUCCAUAAAAACCAAAAAAGUGGAUCAAAUAUAUGAUAUAAGGAGGUUAAUAAAACAGAAACUAGAAAUAUAUACUUGCUCUCCUUUCAGCUUCUUUAAAGAUAUAUCAUUAUAUAGUAUGAUCAUUAUAAUAGCGCAUAAUAAAGAUGUAAUAUAUGUAACAAUACCACAAAAAGUGGUAAAACUGAAUAAACUCAUACAGGAAUAACUUCUGUAUCUCACCAGGAUUAAUAUAAAUAUGAAGUAAAUUUUGAGACGAUACAUAAGGUAAGCCCUAGAGCAAACACUAAUAACAAAUAGAAUAUUGAAGAAUCAUAAAAGAAAUGAAAAUUUAUAUUAGAAAGUAGUCACUAGAUGGAAAAGAAAGCAGCAAAGGAGAAAUAGAGGAACAAGAAAUAGUACAUAGAAAAGACCAAAAGUAAAACUGUGGAUAUAAAUCUAAUUAUAUCAAUAAUAAUAUUAAAUGUGAAUGGAUUAAACAAUCUAAUCAAAGGCAGGAAUUAUCAGACCAGAUUUGAAAAACAGGAUCCAUCUGUAUUCCAUCUAUAUGAGGCACACUUUAGAUGAUAAAUGCCAACUGAAAGUAAAAGGAUGGAAAAAGAUAUAUCAUGUAAGCAGCAACCAUAAGUAACCUGAAGUGCUAUAAUAAAGUCAAAGGAGAUUUUAAAUUAAGAAUGUUACUGAAGUUAAAUAUGAAUAUCUCAUAAUGAUAAAAUGUCAAUUCAUGAGAAGAUACAAUGAUUAUAAACAUAUAUUCACCUAACAAUAGAGAACUAAAACAUAAGAAGCAAAAACUGACAGAACUGAACAGAGAAAUAGCCAAUUCAACAAUAGUAGUUGGAGACUUCAACACUCCACUUUCAAUAAUGUGUAGUACAAGAAAGAAGAUCAAUAAGGAAACAGAAGAUAUGAGCAACACCAUAAACCAACUAGACUCAAAAGGUAAUUAUAGAGCACUUCGCCCAACAACCAACAUUGAAUAUACAGUAUUUUCAAGUGCACAUGAGACAUUCUCCAAGAAGGACCAUAUGCUAAGUCACGAAACAAACCUGCAUAAAUUUAAAAGGAUUGAAAUAAUACAAGGUAUCUUUUUCUGAAUAUAAUGAAAUAAAAGUAGAACUCAGUAGCAAAGAAAUUAGGGAAACAUACACAUGUGGAAAUUAAACAACACUACAUUCUUAAAUAAUCAAUGGGUGAAAGAAUUCACAAGGGAAAUGGAACGUACUUUGAGAUUAAUGAAAAUGAAGAUACAACAUAACAGAACUUAUGGGAUACAUUUAAAGCAGUGUAAAGAUGGAAUUUUAUAGCUAUGAAUGCCUAUAUCAAAAAAUAAGGCUUCAAAUCAGUAAGCCAACUCUCCACCUCAAGAAACUAGAAAAAGAAGAGCAAACUAAACCUAAAGCAAGUAGAAAAAACAAAAUAAUAAAUAUUAGAGUAGAAAUAAAAUAUAGAAUAUAAAAAUAAUAAAGUCAACAAAUCCAAAAUUUGGUUCUUUGAAAUUAACAAACCUUUGAUAGAUUGGUAAGAGAGAGGGAGAGGGAGAAGAAAAGAAGGGGAGGAAGAAAGAGGGGGAGGAGGAAAGACAGAGAGGGAAGUGCAUGAGGCAAAGGGGGAGAGAGAAAACUCAAAUUACUAAAAUCAGAAAUGAAUGACAGUUUUACAAAUUAAAGCAAAAAAACGAGGCUAGCUGCAGUGGCUCACACCUGUAAUCCCAGCACUUUGGGAGGCCAAGGCAGGAGAAUUGCUUGUGGCCAGGAGUUCGAGAAUUGCUUGUGGCCAGGAGUUCAAGAAUAGCAUGCACAACAAAGCAAGACCCUAUCUCUACAAAAUAUUUUUUGAAUAACAGCUGGUGUUGUGGUGCACACCUGUCAUAGGCUAAGGGGCAAGGAUCACUUGAGACUAGGAGAUCGAGGUUACAGUGAGCUAUGAUUACACCACUCUAUUCCAGCCUGGGCAACAGAGAGAGACUCUGUUUCUCAAAAAGAAAAGGAAAAAGGAAUGAAUGAGGGAAGUAUACUACCAACCUGACAGAAAUAAAAAGGAUUAUGAAGGAACACUAUGAACAAUUUUGUGCCAAUAAAUUAUAAAACUUAGAUGAAAUUGACAAAUUCCUAGAAAGAUGAAAACUAUGAAAACUGACUAAGAAAUAAGUAGAAAAUGUGAAUGGAUCUGUAAUAAGUUAAAGAGAUUGAAUUAGUUAUGAGAACACUAGUUGAAAAGAAAAGCCCAAGAGGGCCAGAUGAGUGAAUCUAACAAAUAUCUAAAGAAUAUCAAUUCUUUAUGACCUCUUCCAACAACAAAAAAAUAGAAGAGAAGGAAAAUUUUUCCAAUACAUUCUUUCAGUCCAGUAUCACCCUGACACCAAAACCAGACAAAAACAUGAAAAGAGAACUUAUAAAAUUUAUUUUACCCAUUUUAGGUAUAUAGUUCUGUGGCAUUAGGUAAAUCCACGCUAUUGUGCUUUAUGCUUUCUUGAUGUUGUAAAUAGAAUUGUUUUCUUAUUUUCAGAUUGUUUUUGACAGUGUAUAGGAAUACUAUUGAUUUUUGUAUUUCAUUACAAUAACUGUGAUGAAAAUGAUGUAAAACCCUCAAAACCCUCAACAAAAUACUAGCAAGUAAAAUCAAGCAAUGUUUAAAAAGGAUUAUACAUUAUAACCAAAUGGGACUUAUUUCAGGAAUGCAAGGUUGAAUUAACAUCUGAAAAUCAAUUAAUGUAAUACACCAUUAUCAACAGAAUAAAAGACAAAACACCACGAUUUCUGUCAGUCUGUUCAGACUGUUAUAACAAAGUAUCACGAACUGGUGGCUUAUAAACACAGAAAUUUAUUUUUUGCAAUUUUACAGGCUUGGAAGUCCAAGGUCAAGGCACUGGCAGAUUCAGCAUCUGGAGAGGACUCGCUUUCUGGUUCAUGAACAGUUGUCUUCUUGUGUCCUCAUAUGACGGAAGAAAAAAAGGAGCUCACUGAGGUCUCUUUUACAAGGGCACUAAUCCAUUCCAUGAGGUCUCCACCCUCAUGACCUAACCACUUCCCAAAGGCCUCACCUCCUAAUACCAACAUUGGGGGUUAGGAUUUCAACAUAUACAUUUUGAGGAAACACACACAUUCAGUCUAUAGCAAUUAAUGAUAGAAUAAAAGACACAGAAAAGCAUUUGGGUGAUAAAAUUCAACACCCUUCCAUGAUGGGAGAAAAAGCCCUACUCAAUAUACUAGGAAUAGAAAGGAACAUCCUCAACCUGAUAAAGGGCAUCUAUUAAAAAUCACAGUUGGCCGGGUGCAGUGGUUCACACCUGUAAUCCCAGCACUUUGGGAGGCCGAGGCGGGUGGAUCACGAGGUCAGGAGAUCGAGACCAUACUGGCUAAUAUGGUGAAACCCCGUCUUUACUAAAAAUACAAAAAAAUUAGCCAGGCAUGGCAGCAUGCGCCUGUAGUCCCAGCUACUCGGGAGGCUGAGGCAGAAGAAUGGCGUGAACCUGGGAGGUGGAGCUUGCAGUGAGCCGUGAUCACACCACUGCAUUCCAGCCUGGGUGACAGAGCGAGACUCUGUCUCAAAAAAAAAAAAAAAAAAAAAAAAAAAAUCACAGAUAAUAUCAUACUUAACAGUGAAUGACUGAAUGUUUCCCCGUUAAGAUCAGGAAUGAGACAAAGAGAUCUGCUCUUUCCACUUCUAUUCAACAUUUAUUGAGUGUUCCAUCCAGGAUAAUUUGGGAAGAAAAAGAAUCCAGACUGAAAGAAAGAAGUAGAACUAUUUGGAGAUGACAUAAAUUUGUGCUGGUCCAGUUUUGUGUUACUAUAAAGGAACACCCGAGGCUGGGUAAUUUAUAAAGAAGAUUUUAAUUGGCUCACAGUUCUUCAGGCUAUACAGGAAAUAUGGCACCAGCACCUGCUCCUGGUGAGGGCCUCAAGAAGCUUACAAUCAUGGCGAAAGGCAGAGGGGCAGGCAUAUCACAUGGCAAGAGCAGGAGCAAGGUGGAGGGAGGUAGCAGAUUCUUUAAACAACCAGCUCUUAGCAUAAACUACCAGAGUAAGAAUUCGCUCAUUACCACGGGGAUGGUACCAAGCCAUUCACGAGGGCUCCGUCCAUGAUCCAGACACCCCCCACCAGACCCCACCUCCAACAUUGGGAAUCAUUUUAAUGAGAUUUGGAGGGACCAAACAUCCAAACCGUAUCAAUGUUGUAUACAGAAAACCCCAAGGAAUCCAUUGUGAAACAAUUACAACGAAUGAGUUCAGUAAGGCUGCAGGAGACAAAAUCAGUAUAUAAAAAUCAAUUGUAUUUCUACACACUGUCAAAAAACAAUCUGAAAAUAUAAUUAAGAAAACAAUUCCAUGUAUAACAUCAAAAAAGAAUAAAGCACAACAGUGCGAAUUUACCUAAUGCCACAUAACUAUAUACUUAAAAUGAGUAAAAUAGUAGAUUUUAUGUAUAUUUUUACCAUAAUAAAGAAAAAAUAAAAUACCUUGGGAAUAAGUUUAACAAGUACAAAACUUAUCCUCUGAAAAUUACAAAACAUUGUUGAAAGAAAAGAAGAUACAAAUAAAUGGACAGACAUUACAUGCUCAUAGACUGGAAGACUUAAUAUUGUUAAGAUGGCAACACUCCCGGAAUCGUGCUGAUCUACAAACUCAACACAAUCCUUACCAGAAUCUCAGCUGGUUUCUUUGUAGAAUAAUAAGCUGAUGUUCAACUUCAUAUGAAAAUGCAAAGGACCCAGAAUAGCAACAAUUUUGAAAAAGAAAAGUUGGAGGCUUCAUACUUCCUGAUCUCCAAAUUGACUACAAAGUAACAGUAUUCGAGAAAAUGUGAUACUGGCAUGAGAUAGAUAUGUAGAUCAAGGGAAUAGAAUCAGAGUGUAAAAACGGAGCCAUAUAUCUAUGGUCAAUUGAUUUUUGACAAGGAUGCCAAGAAUGUUCAAUGCGGAAAGAAUAGUCUUUUGAACAAAUAGUGUUGAAACAACUGAUAUCCACAUGAGAAAAAUCAAUUGGUCCACUCCACAUCAUAUAUAAAAAUUAACUCAAAGUGGAUCAAAGACAUAAAUACGUAACAGAUAAAGCUAUAAAAUUCUUAGGGUAAACAUAAGGGUAAAUCUUUAUGACCUUGGAUUUGGCAGAGGUUUCUUAGAUAUAACACCAAAGAACAAGGAACAAAAGAAAAAAAGUAGAUAUAUUGGACUUCAUAAAAAUUAAAAGCUUUUGUGCUUCAAAAGACACCUUAAAGAAAGUGAAAAGACAACCUACAGAUGGGAGAAAAUAUUUGCAAAUAAUCUAUCUGAUAGGGGACUUGUUACUGGAUAUAUAAAUAACUCCUUCAACUCAAAAACAAAAAGACAAAUAUCCCAACUUAAAGAAUGGAUGAAAAAUCGGAAUAGAAAUUUCUUCAGGGUUGACAUAUAGUUAAUAAACACAUGAAAAGAUGCUCAACGUGAGUAGUCACAGGGAAAUGCAAAUCACACCCAAAAGGAGAUACUGCUUAACAACCACUAAGAUGGCUAUAAUUGAAAAAAGAUAAUAGCAAGUGUUGGUGAGGAUAUGGAGAACUUGCGCAGUGCUCAUAUGCUGGUGGUGAGAAUGUAAAAUGAGGCACCCACUUUGGAAAUAAUUGGUCAGUUCUUCAAAAAGAUAGUUAUCGGCCAGGUGCUGUGGCUCACACCUGUAAUCCCAGCACUUUGGGAGGCCAAGGCGGGUGGAUCACGAGGUCAGGAGAUCGAGACCAUCUCGGCCAACAUGGUAAAACCCUGUCUCUACUAAAAUACAAAAAAUUAGCUGGGCAUGGUGGCAUGUGCCUGUAAUCCCAGCUACUUGGGAGGCUGAGGCAGAGGAAUCGCUUGAACCUGGGAGGUAGAGGUUGCAGUGAGCUCAGAUCGCGCCACUGCACUCCAGCCUGGCGACAGAGCAAGACUUCAUCUCAAAAAAAAGAUAGUGAUCAUUUGACUCAGCUUUCCACUCCCAUGUGUUUUCAUAUCUCUUUCUUUUCUUCCUUUCUUUUUGUUUUUUUGAAACAGUCUUGCUCUGUUGCCUAAGCUGGAGUGCAGUGGCACAGUCUCGGCUCACUGCAACCUCUUCCUCCCGGGUUCAAGCAAUUCUCUUGCCUCAGCCUCCCGAGUAGCUGGAAUUACAGGCACCUGCCACCAUGCCCAGCUAAUUUUUGUAUUUUUAGUAGAGAUGGGGUUUCACCAUGUUGGCCAGGCUGGUCUCGAACUCCUGACCUCAGGUGAUCCACCUGCCUUGGCCUCCCAAACUGUUGGGAUUACAGGUGUGAGCCACCAACACACCCAGCCUUUCAUAUCUCUUUCAUGCCCAGGAGAUAUGAAAACACAUGUCCACACAAAAACCCACAUGUUCUAGAAGCAUUAUUCAUAGUAGUCAAAAUGUGGAAACAAUCUAAAAUGCUUAUCAACAAAUAAAUGGAUAAACAAAAUGUUUAUUCAUUGUAUAUCAUACGAUGGAAGAUUAUUCAUUCAUAAAAGAAUGAAGCACAAGGGCCGGGUGCAGUGGCUCACGCCUGUGGUCCCAGCAGGUUAGGAGGCCGAGGUGGGCGGAUCACCUGAGGUCAGGAGUUCGAGACCAGCCUGGCUAACAUGGCGAAACCCCGUCACUACUAAAAAUACAAAAAUUAGCCGGGCUUGGUGGUGCGUGCCCGUAAUCCCACCUACUUGGGAGGCUGAGGCGGGUGAAUUGCUUGAACCCGGGAGGCGGAGGUUGCAGUGAGCCGACAUCGCGCCACUGCACUCCAGCCUGGGCGACAGAGGGAGACUCUGUCUCGGGGAAAAAAAAAGAAGCACUGAAGCACAAACCUUGAAAACAUGAUGCUAAGUGAAAGUAACCAGUCACAAAGGACCAUACAUUGUAUGAUUCCACUUAUAUAAAAUGUCCAGAAUAGGCAAACCCAUAGAGAGAAAGAUUAGUUAUUGCCUAGGGCUGAGGGGGAUGGAAUAGUGGGUUUGGGGGUGAUAUUUAAAAGGCACUGGGUUUCUUUUUGGAAUGAUAAAAAUGUUCUCAAACUGGAGUGGCAGUUGCACAGCUCUGGGGAUACACAGGCACACUUCACUUUUUUGCACUUUGUGGAUAUUGUGUUUUUAAAAAAUUAAAUGUGUGUGGUAAGCCUGCACUGAGCAAGUCUAUCAGUGCCAUUUUUCCAACAACAUGUGCUCACUUCAUUCUGGGUCAGCAUUUUUUAGCAAUAAAGUGUCUUUCAAUUAAGGUAGGCACAUUGUUUUCUUAGACAUGGGGCUAUUGCACACUUAAUAGACUACAAUAUAAACAUAACUUUUAUAUGCAGUGGCAAACCAAAAAAUUUGUGUGACUUGCUUUAUUGCAAUAUUUGCUUCAUUGCAGUGUACUGGAACCGAACCACAAUAUCUCUGAGGUAUGCCUAUACUAAAAACCAUUCAAUUAUAUUCUUUAAAUGGGUGAAUUGUAUGGUAUGUAAACUAUAUCUCCACAAGGCUGUUAGAAAAAAGCUAUAGCAGAAGAUAUUUGGGGUCCAGGGCCAAAGACUUCUUAGACCUGACAUCAGAAGUGUAAUCCAUAAAAAGGAAACAUUGAAUCUCAUCAAAAUUUAAAAUGUUUGCUCUGUAAAGUACCCUGUUGAGAUGAUGACAAUGAAAGCUACAAUGAAUAAAUAUUUGCACCCUGUUUCUGACUUAAGAUAAGUAUCUAGAAUAUAUAAACAUCUCCCAAAACUCGACAGUUAACAAAAAGUCUAAUUGGGAAAUGGAAAAAUGAUAUCAACAAGAAUUUCACUGCAUAGAAUACAAAAAUGGCAAACAGGCACAUGAAAAGAUGUUCAGUAUCAUCCUAAUGAGGAAAUGUAAAUGUAAACCACAAUGAGAUCUCACUACACACCUAUCUGAAUGGAGAAAAUUAAAAACAGUGUGAACAUCAAAUGCCAGCAAGAAUGCAGAGAAACUAGAUCACUUAGACCUUGCUGGCAGGAAUGGGGAAUGUGAAAUGGUGCAGUCACUCUGGAAAAUCAGUUUGGUAGUUUCUUAUAAAACUAAACAUGCAACUGCCACACAACUCAGCAAUUACAAGCUUGGGCUUUUAUCCCAAAGAAAUAAAAACUUAUGUUCACACAAGAACCUUACAAGAAUAUUCAUGUCAUCCUUAUCAAUGUAUAAGGUUCCCAUGGCUGCUGUAAUACAUUUCCACAAACUUAGUGGCUUAAAACAAGACACGCUUUUUUUUUUUUUCUCACAGUUCUAGAGGCCAGAAGUCUGAAAAGAGUCUUAGGGGACGAAAAAUCAAGGUGUCAGCAGGGCUGGUUCCUUCUGGAGGCUUCAGGGGAGCAUCCCUUCCCUUUCCUUGCCUUUUCUUCUGGAAGCGUUCUUUGGUUUGUGACCCCUUCCUCAAAUCACAUUGCCAUUUCCUGCCCCUGCUUCCGUGGCCACGUAACCCUUUUUCUCUUCUGUAGUCAUUCUUCUGCCUCCCUGUUAUAAGGACCCUUGUGAUUACACCGGGCCCAUUCAGAUAACCCAGGAUGAUCUCUCCAUCUCAAGGUCCUUAAUUUGACACAUCUGCAGAGUGCCCUUUGCCAUAGAAGGCGAUAGUCACAGGUUCUAGGCGUUAGGACCUGGCUACUUUGGGGGCCAUUGUUCAGCCUACUCUGAUUUGUAAUAGCCCAAACUGGGAAUGACCCACAUGUCCUUGGAUGAGGGAAUGGUUAAAUAAACUGGGGUAUAUGUCCAUACCGUGAAACUCCACUCAGCACUAUGAUUUAAUGAACUGUCGCGAUACAAAACAACCGGAAUGAAUCCAGAGAAUGAUGCCGAGCCAAAAGACCCCGUUUCUAAGAUAUCGUGUAUUGUGUGAUUCCAUUUACGUGGCAUUUUUGAAAAGACAAAACUAGAGAAUCAGAGAACAGAUGAGUGGUCACCAGGGAUUGGAGGGAUGGGAUGGGAGAAAGUCCGUGUAAAAGGACAAAUAAUGGGAACCCCGUGGCGACGGGAGCACUCUGCAUCUGGACUCUUGCUGUUGACAUCCUGGUUAUCAUAUUGUGCUAUGGUUUUAGAAGAUGCUACCACUGACGGAAACUAACUAAAGGGUGCAUGGGAUCCCUAUUAUUUCUUACCACUGCAUAUGAAUGUCUAAAAAUAAAAAGCUUGAAAGUCUCAUUUUUUUAAACGGGCAAAAGAUCUGAAUAAAUAUUUCACUAAAGAAGAUACACAAUUGGGCACUAGGCACGUGGAAAAAUGCUCAGCAUCAUUAGGAAAAUGCAAAUCAAAACCACAAUGAGGUAACCAUUCCAACUGGACAGUAUUUUUUUUUCUUUCUGUACUUUCGUGGAAGGGGUGCUAGAGUUGGAAAAUGAUCAUUUUUGCAACUACCACAGUAAAGCCUGGUUUCCAAAAGCAUUUAAAUCUGGAGAGACUUUUUUUUUUUUUUUAACAAGUAGCAGGGUAUAUGCAUGGCCUUAAAGAAUCUCCCCCGAUUGUUUAUUGGUUGCAAGGCAAAAUAUAGUAACUGUAAGGUAGAAAAGUGGAUAACGGCCUCAAUUUGGUGAUCAAAAUAACAUCGUUAAUAAGGGGCAGAUACACUGUGUGCCUCAGGAUGUGAUACACUGAGAAGGACAUCAGGUCACUUACAGAGUACACAACGUGGAUCUAACCUGAGGAAACAUCAGACUCCCCCAAGAAGUGGCAGGACUGUAUCUUUAAAAAAUAUCAGUGUCAUAACAGAGAAAGAGACUAGAAAUGUUCCAGAUUAAACAAGACUGAAGAGACACAUCUAAAGGCAGUACUGACCCUGAACUGGAUCUUGCAGUGGAGGAAAAAAUGCCACAAAGGACAUUGUCAUGGCAACUGACAAAAUGGGAACAUAGGCAUUAAAUUAGGUCCAAGUAUUAUAUUGAUGUUUAAUUGCAGAAGUCAAUAACUGUAUUACUGCUUUCAAAGAUAAUAUCUUUAUUUUUCAGAAAUACACAGCAAAAUGUUUAGGGGCAAAGAGCUGUGGAGUAUGCAACUCACAGAUGUUUCAGAAAAACAUGUUAUGUGAAUAUAAUGUAGAGAAAGGGGUUCAAAUGAUAAAGCAAAUGUGGCAAAAUGUAACAAUUAGUAAACUGGUAAAUCUUAGUGAAGGGUAUGUAGGUGUUUUUAUAUCUCGUGCUUGUAAUUUUUCUGUAGUUCAAAAUUAUGGCCAAAUAAACAGUUUGUUUUGUUUUAAGAAACAAUCCUGAGGGACUGCUUUAGCUCAGCAGGUCACAACUGGGGGCAAUUUUGCCCUCCAGGGGACAUGUAGCAACAUGUGGAGAUGUUUUUGGUGGUCAUAACUGAGGCCGGAGAUGCUGCUAAACAUCCUGCAAUAGACAGGACUUCCUCCCUCAACAAAGAAUUAUCCGGCACUAGAUUUCAAUAGAGGUACAGUGGAGAAACUCUGCCCCACUUGGCUGACAAUAAGUCACUCUGCCAGGACUGGUGGGCAGGAAUGCCGGCCGGGAAAGAGGAACCCUGCCUGUGGAAUUCAAGGUCAGACAAAACGAGAAAAACAACCUGGCUACAUCACUGAAAUUAACAAGCCUAUUCCUGUGUCACGGGCUGAAUUGUGUCCCACAAGGUUUGCAGUUGAAGCCCUGGUCUUUAAUACCUCGGCACGUGACUCAGCAUGUUUGGAGACAGGACCUUUAAAGAGGUGAUGAAGCUACAAUGAGGCUGUUAGGGUGGGCCCUAAUCCAGUGUGACUGGUGCCCUUAAAGAAAAGGAUAUUUGGACACACAGAGAAACACCAGGGUGCAAGUGCCCAGAGCAAUGGUCAUGUGAUGACACAGGAAGAAGGCGGCCAUCUGCAAGGCAAGGAAAGAGGCCUCAGGGAAAGCAGCCUUGCUGACACCUUGAUCUCAGACUUCUAUCCUCCAGAAUUGUGAGAAAUACAUGUCUGCUGUCUAAGCCACCCAGCCUGUGGUAUUUUGUUAUGGCAGUCCUAGCAAACUAAUACAUCCUGGAAAGUUAACACAUAGAAAUAAAAGUUCUGUACAUAGAAACAGGUUCAAGAACCUAUGUUCUUGAACAAAAUGAAUUUUAAGCGAUAGAGAACAUCACAGAGUAUGUACACCAAAGGAAAUUAAGCAGAGAUUAUAAAUUUUAGAAUAGAAUUGAAAUAGAAAUAAAAUUCAAUUAGAGAUAGAAUUAAAUCAAAAUAAAAUUGUUUCAGCAGCCUUAGAGGCAUUUUUACUAUUUUACUGAUUGAGAAAAACAAGAUGCAGAAAGCAGGUAUGAUAUGAUCCCGUGAGUUUGGAAAACAAUGAUAAUGCCUUCAUUAUGUCACAUGUAUUUUAUUUCAUUGAAUAUUAUAUGAACAUCAGGAAAAAUGUAAGACAACAAAUCCUAGAUUAUCAACAUAGGUAACAGAGAGGAGGGGAGCCCAAGCAAACAUAAGAAAAAAGUUCUGUACUGAAACACAUCUAUUCCAUUCUACUCAUCUGUAAAGUUAAAGUGUGAAUAUUGGAAAGUAAUACAACAUUAAGGACACUAAAAGAAAGAAUAGCCCCUAUUCAGAUCUGGUAUUGAUAGAGCCUGAGGCCAAUUUGGCAGCAGACAGAGACACAAGACUGUUUGCUGCAUAUGGGUCCUGGGUGAGCACUUACAUGUUCUAACUCACUCAGUCAACACAGGAGUCCUGGGAGCAGGCAGUUAGGAUCCUGAUUUCACAGAUGUGGAAACUGAGGCACAGAGAAUGCAGUAGCUUGCUUAGGGCCACAUAAGAAAAUGGCAGAGCUGGGCUAUGACCCUAAAGAAGGUUGGCCAUAUAGGCUGUGCUCCAAACCACUCCAUGAAACCUGCCACUCAAUUUUUAGAAACAUAAUUGUACAGGAAGAUUUAAUUUUCCUGUCUCAGAAUUUGGCAGAUGUAUUAGGGUUUUUUUUUUUUAACUAAGGGCAGAGCAGACCUAAAUGAGGCAAUGAAUAAGUAUGUAUACACAAUCCAUCUCAAUGUACAUUUUGUCUGUCCAUGUAUACAAAUAAAACUUUGUGUUAUACAAAUACAGAAGAUAUUUUCUGAGGUCUGUGGAGCAUUUACAAAAAUAAUGAUGUUAUUUUCAUACUUGGAGACAAAGAAAAUCUUCAUUUUAAAAAAAGUGGAGACUUCAUAGGCUACAUCCUUUCACUGUAAGCCUACUAAAUUAGAAAUAAAUAACAGUGAUAAAAAUUUACUGCUUAAAAAUUAAGAAGACAUUAAAAGAACUCUAAAGAGAAAAAUCAAAACACAAAAUUAAAACUAUCAAGAAAGCAAUGAAAAGGAACAUAUUUCAUAAUCAGAUCUACGUGUCACAGCUAAAGCUGCAAUCAGAGGAAAAUUUAUAGCCUUUAAAAAUGCCUUUAGUAGAAGAACUUCAAAUAAAUGAACUAUGACUCUUAAGUAAAAGAAAACAAAAAUAGAGUUAGCCAAGAAAAGGGAAUUAAUAGCUAUAAAAGCUUAGAUUAAUGAAAUAGAUAACAAAGAGUACAAAGAUAGUUUUCUGAUAAUAAAAUAUAAAUAAAACAUAAAUUUCUCAUGUGCUUGAUUAAGAAAAAAGGAGAAAAACCACAAAAGUUCAGGCAUAAAGGAAAAGAAAAACGAAGAGAUGAUAGAGAAGACCAUAAAAUCACUAAAGGAAAAAAUCAGUUGCUACCAAGUGGCAACACAAUUGAAAUGCUUGAGGAAAUUAAAUAGCAAUGAAUAAAUUACUCCAAAAGAUGCAAUAAACUAAUUUAGAACAACAUAUCAUAAAACAGACUAAAAAGAAAUUACUAAAGAUAUCCUAUAAAACAUGUAUCAGGCCCAGAUGGUUUUACAACUCAAUUCUAUUUAACCUCUACAGAAAAGAUAAUCCCAAUGUUCUUCAAACAGUUCCAAGACACAGAACAAGGAAGGUAGAUAAAACUUUGUUUUGUAAACCAUUGUAUUUGCCCCCACAUGAUGGCAGAUUUCAUACUCUUCUGAAAGAUGUACUGUUAUUUCUAGGAUCAGAUAUCAGGGAUGUCCUGCAUCAGUGAUGAGAGUGAAGCUUCACAGUUUUGAUGGCUGUUUAACGGAGAUAUGAUACUUGAAGCAGACCUCCACUGAUGGGUAUGUCGGUGGUUUGCAAUUUUUUGCUAUUUAACAAUUGCAGAAAUCAAUAUCCUGAUGAUGGAUUAUUUUGCAAAUGUGUAAGAUAUGUGUAGAAUAAAUUUCUAGAAUGAUUCAAAGGCAUAUGCAUCUUUAAUUUUGAUUGAAAUUGCCUUAUUUAUCUCCACAGAGGUUUGUAUCAAUUUAUUUUUCUAACAUCAAUGACUGAGACUGAGAGUUUCCAUGUACACAUACCCAUAGAGUGUUAUCAAACUCUUUGAUAUUUAAUAAUCAGAUAAGUUUCAAAAACCCCAUUGCUUUAGUUUGCAUUUCUCUUG
rnacentral:lncRNA from 1 species